rnacentral:lncRNA from 1 species
GUUCCUCGCGGUGGACGAGAAGGUGACGACGCAAUAUAUGGACGAUGAUCUUUUGUUACGUGUUGCCAACAGAGUUUUCAUAUCAGGGACACAUGUGUCGGGCUGUACAACAUCCGUUGCAAGAAUCGACCCGUAUGUGUCGGGACAGUGGUGGAAAACUAGUAGCAGUUCAGUCAGAGGCGCCCUCUAUGAUCCUGUACAAACGCGUGUCUCAGACAAAUAAUCGUAUCUACCCUAUAAUAUCUGGGACUUUGGUCUAGACUUCAGGUGAUCCGGUCCGGGUCUUUCUGCCUUCUGCAACGAUCCAUGCAGCUGCAGGAGCAAAGAAUUGCUGACGACAAAGAUGGAGCUCAGGGCCAUCAGUCCUCCUGCACGAACACGCCCAUCACCAGAUGUUACAUUAUCAAAGUUAUACAAAUAUGUCAAGGUGACGUAAGCAGCCAUGGCAAUUGUGCUCUCCAGGUGAACAUUAUACCUGAAAGAGAUGGUGUCAUGGCGAAAUCAAACUGAGGCAGUAGCGCCCCAGCCGCGACGGGGAUGGCCAGUAUGUUGUAUGCCACCGCCCAGGCCAAGUUCUGGUGAACUUUCGCCAUGGUUGCUUUAGAUAGGGAUAGGGCAUCUGCAACCUGUGCCAGAGGGAUGAUCGUCGUCUAUCAAUGCAUCACGCCACUUGAAUUAGUCUUGUAGAAAUCAGAGUGCAAAGAAUUAUACCUGUGAAAGUCGGUUCCCUAGUAGAACUACUGAAGCUGCAUCAGAGGCGGCAUUCUCUUUCGAGUGAGUUCCCAUAGCUAUUCCAACAUCAGCAGCUGCCAAAGAGGGUGCAUCGUUUAUUCCAUCGCCAACCUGUGCAAACGAUGAAUUUUGUCAGGCUCUAAUUUUUAAGCUGUGCACAAAACUUAGGUGUGUUGUUGAUAGUAGAUCAAAGAUAAAAGAUAAAACACCACAAUAAAUUACCAUGGCAACUCUAUGCCCCUCCCCUUGCAAGGUUGAUAUAAUGCCCGCCUUUUCCUGUGGGGUGAGGGAUGACCUUCUGUUUUCACUCCUGAUUCCAACAGUUUCCCCAAUGCCUUCCACUGCCUCUUUCCUGUCUCCUGACAAUAUAUAGGUUGCGAUUCCUUCCUGCUGUAGCCUGUAGAUUAACCAGAAAAGGAAUGACUGUUACACACUGCUUGAAUUAUAGGGAUAUGACUGCAGGAGACACAUCACUUGCAUGACAACAAAAAAGUAGCAUCCGCAACAUUUGAGGUUCUGGCGAGAUGAAACCAUUUUCCAACAUUAGAGAUCAAACGGGUUUUCAAGUUUAACACAUUUUGACAAGUGGGGCAACAUGAUAACUUCUGAACAUGUUCCUGGCAGUUAGGGGAGUUAUAUUUGCACUAAUAUCACAUUGAAAAUACAUUUACAAUGCAAAAGAUGUCUCCAGUAAAUACCUGUCCACAGUUGAUUUUGCAUCAUCACGCAGAACAUCUGAGAUAGCAAUAGCACCUAUUAUUCCUUCUCCUUCACGGCCAAUAUAAGCGAUUGAUUUUGACUGAUUCGAAGAUGAUGCUUCACUGGAAGGCACAAACUCUAGGCGCUUUCCAAGAUCACUCAGUUCAGUCGGCGACGCCUUGGUUUCAAAACGAUUGUGGACCCAGUCCAAAUUACCCACUGCAACCAAACGCCCAUCUACUUCAGCCAAACAGCCAAAACCAGGCUGUGUAAGCUGCCCACUUGUCGUUGGAAUAUCCAGUUUGCACAGUUCAGUCUCCUUCGUUAUAGCAUUCGCAAUAGGAUGCAAUGCUGUUUUCUCCACUGCAGCAGCAAGACGAAGAAUCUCCAUCUUGUCAUAUGCUAAAGAAGCAAUAGAAGUAACAACUGGUUUUCCUUUCGUAAGCGUCCCUGUCUAAGAAUCACAAUAGAGACACUACUUAUAAUACAGAUACAGAAAUUCUGCUCCGAGAAAGAUAAUAAAUGAAGUCAUAUACCUUAUCCAGAACAAUUGCAUCUAUCCCAGCCAAACGCUCCAAAACAUCACCUCCUCUAAUAAGUAGCCCUCUUUUAGCGCCUGCUUUCAGAUUAAAGAAAAAGUCACAGGGCGUUCUUUAUGUUGAGCAAGUUCACCUGUUAGCUUUCCCGCCACUCAUAAAAGACAAAGUACGAUAGGAGUUGCUACAUACAAGUACUGAAUUGAGGAACGUUUAGUCAAUGGCAUCAAUGCAGAAGAACCUUAAAUUGCAUUCAUGCAGUGUAAAUUGUAUGAUUCAUUGUCUCAUCAAACAUUGAGAAAAAAAGAAUACAGACACUUGGACAAAGAAGUUACCCAUGGAAGUUCCUAUUAAGAUAGCUGUAGGCGUAGCUAAUCCAAGUGCACACGGACAGGAAACAACCUGCAGGGUGAAAAUUAUCGCAAACAAGCAUUAAAAGAGGCAGUUCUUAAGAGUAAGCUACGUGAAACAGCUGCUCAAUGGUCAACCACCUCCAAACAGGACAACAACAUCGAGAUUUCAGGAUGUUUUGCAUGUGCAAUGAGCCACAAUAGAUAUGACGAAUGAUCAGUGAGUUACUGUAGUCUGGCUAUGUAAAAUUGUUCCAUAAUUUNNNNNNNNNNNNNNNNNNNNNNNNNNNNNNNNNNNNNNNNNNNNNNNNNNNNNNNNNNNNNNNNNNNNNNNNNNNNNNNNNNNNNNNNNNNNNNNNNNNNNNNNNNNNNNNNNNNNNNNNNNNNNNNNNNNNNNNNNNNNNNNNNNNNNNNNNNNNNNNNNNNNNNNNNNNNNNNNNNNNNNNNNNNNNNNNNNNNNNNNNNNNNNNNNNNNNNNNNNNNNNNNNNNNNNNNNNNNNNNNNNNNNNNGGUUACUUACUAGUACAUCCACAGCAAGUUUCAAGCUCAAAAGCAACGAGUCCCCAUCAGGACCAGAAAUAUCAUUUAGAAGGACCUCCGGAAAUAGGUGUGUGCCCAAUAAGUACCUUGGGAUACAUAGAAAAAAUUUAAACCAAUAUUUAUAUAGCUGCAGCAGUUUUUUGUAUGCUUUUCUCUCAGAAAGAAAAGAGAAGGAGCAGCAGAGCAUACCAGAAAGAAAAGGUUGCUGCAGACAACGUCAUAACAGUAUACACAAAUGGCCCUGCAAUCGCAUCCGCAAGCCUUUGUACAGGAGCUUCAUGUGCUUGUGCAUCCUCAACCUGUUCAGGGACAGUAUGAAUAGAAUUACAAACAUAUUCCCCUUAUAGUAUAAAAUAAUAAAAUAGUGAUGCGGUGUAUACCUACCAUGCGGAUUAUCUUAGCAAUUGUUGACGACGGUCCAGUGGUUGUGGCUUUGAUCCUUAAAGGUCCAUCCUGUAGAAAAGACAAAAGGAUGGAUUGGUAAAUUAAUUUAGCUAAGUUUGAAAGGAGCACAUGCACUUCAUGAGAGAGAGAGAGAGACUUAAAAAGAUUAAAGAGAUCAACCAGGACAUAAUAAGAAUGAGUGAAGGGACGCGGAUUUGGUGAACAUGAUUCCACGCGCACCCCUUAUGAAUAGUAAAUUCAGAAGAAGAAAAAACCUAGAAAAAUCUGAACAUUUUUUGUAACAUACAUAGUAGACCGGUACACUCACGUACGAAGUUUCACGAAUAAAUGACAUCUGUGAUAUUCUGGGCAAAAAUGACAAAAUCAAAGCUAUAUUAACAAACACUGUUUGAUUCAUAGUGUUUUCACUAUCGUAAGGUCCCAAUUGUAUUUUCUUCACUAAGAAUACCACCGGUGUCAAUACUUCACUUAACUUCACACGUGAGUAGAAUGGUCGACCAAGUUUGAUACCACAAAAUUUUAGAAUUUUUAAAAUUUUCCUAGUAUUUUCUUCGAAUUUACUGUUCAUGUGGGUGCGCAUGGAACCAUGUCCACCUUUGUAUUUUCGUGAGUGAAGAGCUUAUUGAAAUGUUAGUUACGAUUCCCGAUGAUUAACUUCUACAUUGACUAUGAGGGACAUAUAUACAACACACAGAUCCUCAAAUUGUAAUAAAAUCACAAUUGAUUAACACAAUGUAGUGGGAGUGAAGAUCAGAAACGGGAAAAGAUACCAUACUUUCUGGCAGAAAUUAUUAUGUGCAUGUACAUACCCAAUUAACAGUUCCAGAAAAUACAGGGCAUCCUUUUUCUUUUGCUACCGGCAAGGAUUCUCCAGUAAGCAUUGAUUCAUCCACAAAACUUGAUCCUCCAGUGACAUUUCCCUGUAUGAAUAGGUGCCAAUGGACCAGUAGAUCUAUCAGAAUUCUAUGCAAGGACAAGCAGAUGUACAGAAGGUGCAACAGAAUGAUGACAAUCGUGUCUAUAUUAACGACCAUUGGUUCCCUCGCGAAAGAAGAAAAGAAACUAGAACACCCUUCAAACAUUUUGACUCGUCCUAAAAUAUAUACUAAUAACUAUUUUAAUCGAGUAGCAAUUUCGCUCAAACCAUUUGUUAGAGACAGCAUAGAAAUACACAGAGAGUAAGGAUAUCAAAGUAUGUGAGUAAGCAAUACAUGAAACAUCAUUGAAGUCAGCAAAUCAAUACCGAUCAAUGUGUCUUAGAAGUCUGAAGAAUUAAUACAGAAAAGGGAAAAGGACCCACCUCCAAAUGUCUUUUAGCACAUUUAUGUCACUUUGUAAGAUGCCUUACCACAAGGAAUUAAUGGCCAUACAGGGGCUCAUCAAAUUUAGACUUCAUUUAUGUUUAAUCACAUAAAUGUUGUAUCACUGCACUGUAAUUGUAAGAUACUAGAAAGUACAAAAAAUAAACCAUGGCUCCUUACAUCUACAGGGAUAGUUUCUCCUGGAAGAACUAAUACUGAGUCUCCAACACGGACAUCAUCAACAGGAACUUCAACUGUUAUUGCAUCUGAAUUCAAAAUGCCAUCUGAAGGAAGGUCGUCACUUGAGGAUGUAAUGACUAGCCUCGACUGAGGAGAUAAGAGUGACUGCCAUAUAAUAUGAGACAUAGUGAGUUGUAAAUACAUUAGUUAUAUUGGUCAAGCAAUUAUAGACAGGUGUACGUUACUUCACUAACUAUCAAUAUGUGUUCAACAGUUUAUACAGAUUUAUUAAUAAAAGUAUCGGCCUCUUAUUUUAGCUUCUAGUAAUACAAAAAGGAAAUGUUGCAUGUGUUCAUACAAUGCGUAGAUAUUUACUUACAAUGAGCUCAUUCAUAUCGCUAGAUGCCUUAAGCCUAGCACUUUCCUCAAGAGAUCGUCCCAGAAGUACAAAUCCAAGAAGCAUGACCUGCAUGCUACAAGAUGAAUUUCUUCAACAAAACUUCUUAAAAUAUAGUUCAACUGUUGUUUGAUCAACUGCCAAAUCAAAUGAAGUAAUGUGGAAGACAGAAAUAGGACUUGUAUGUUGAAUGAUUCGAUUAUACAGUGUCUGGCUUGUUAAUAAAUAUGCCCGACAAAUAAAUGUCGGACAUUGACACAGAUUUUGCUAAUAGACUCAAAAGCAGAGCAACUUCAUUAACUGACAGCAAUACAGUGCCAGGGCACAAGAGCAGUGGCAGCAAGUACAUAGGAGUUCCAAGUUUGUUAUCAUAUUUUUUCUUUGUUAUUUUCAUGCAUGAAAGAUUGCUCACCGGUUCAUCGAAGAACGUUGAAUUCCAUGCCAAUUCAGGGUUCAGCAAGGAAACCUUCAUACAAGAAAAUCUCUAUUAGACUAUUAUUAUUCUUGAGUGUCUGAAAAAAAACAUCCCCUAUAAGUUCACUUACUGCACUAAUAGCAAAUGCAGCUGCAGACCCAAAUCCUACAAGAGAAUUCAUGUUGGGGGAGCCUUGCUUGAACGCUCUUAGACCAUCAAAAAGUAUAUCUGAGCAAGAGUUACAUUUACCACAGAGUGAGAAAGAAUUAAUAAAAUACCUGAAAAACACAGUGCAAGACCAUGCUGGAAAUCGGUUUCAGUUCGAACUUGCAAUUUGUUUUUAAAAUGCAGUUUUCUUAACUCUAGAAUAAAGAAUGCACAAUCCCUCUGACUCUGUCAUUAUGUCUCUGUUUCGUAGGAGGCAUUUAACAAAUGUCUCUUAGGGCCAGUUCUUUUGGGCGAUUCUACCAGAAUCGCCCCCUUCCCCAGCUUCUCUCAGAAUCACCACUCCAUAUGUUUUUUACAAUCCUAACUAAUUAGACCUUAACUAGAUAGGAUUGUAAAAAAAAUAUGGAGCGAUGAUUCUGGGAGAAGCUGGGGAGAGGCGCGAUUCUGGGAGAAUCGCCGAAAAGAACUGGCCCUUAAGAGACCGCCAUAUCAAGCAAAAGCUCAUGAAUCAAAAACCAAUAUUGUACUAAUGAUGACUAAAUGUAGAGCCAAAGUUCGAAACAUCUUGUGUCGAUACACCUACCUGGUGAAUACUGAGUUUUCUAUCAUUCCUUUGAACUGAUUUUAUAUGUUGUAAUGCACGUACAAUCACUGUCCUUGUGGAAACAUAGCUAAUAAACAACAAGUACACUAAUUAAUGCAUAAGAUUUUGAAGAUGAUAUUGGAGCCAAGUAUACCUCUACCAGGCCCAAACAAUGCCACCAUAGCAAGGCCACAUUUCACAUACGAGUUAUGCAACACAUCCAAAAAUGUUCCUGCACCGUGCACAAACCGGUCAUAUAAUAAGAAUUCAAUAGGGUGAGCAUCAGUGGCCAAUCUAGCGAGCCUCAAUAAAAUAAGCAGCCAACUGAACUUGGUUUUUUCCCGUUCACGACUUGAGAUCACGCUCCGGUGGUUUAAAUUAAACUCACCAUGGCCGAUGUGGAUGCCGAACGAGUGGAGGAGAUGGGACGCGUGCGAGCCGCAGCAGAGCGCGACGAGCGUCCAGGCGAAGGCGACGCGCCCACGGCUCCGGGUGAGGAGCUCCGACUUCCGGGCGGCCAUCUCCCUCCACUUGAGCGCGCUCUCCGCGGCGCCCGCGGUAGCGCCCCCUCGGCGCGCCGCGGACGGGAACCCGCACACCGUCAGCCUCUCCGCCAGCUCCUCCCCGGCGCCCGGAGCCGGGGACCGCAGCCGCACCGCGGCCGACUCGGCGAGGAGGUUGACCGCCGCGUUCUCCACCCGCGCGUCCGCGGCGAGGAUCGACCGCACCCGCGCCGCGCAGCCGCCGCACAUCAUGCCGCUGACGUCGAGCAGCACGGUCGCGCUGGUCCCCUCCUCCGCCGCGGGGGCCACGUCGAGGGCGGUCGAGGCGGAGGGGUCGGCCGCGGCACGGGGCGUGCCCGCUAAAAGCUCGCGCGGGAUGAGGCGGAGGCGCUGCUGGGAGGCGGGAGCGGAGCGGCGGCUGCGCGGCAGGCGGAGGCGCCGCGCGAAGAGGAGAUGACUGGCGUUGGGAAUUUGAGCGCGCACGUGGAGGAGGGGAGAGGCAGGAGCGGUGGCCAUGGCGGCCAUCCGGAGGUCUCGCCCGGAUGAGAGCCUCGGGUGCCCGGCCGCCCCGCCUAGGGUUUGGAGCCGUGGAGGAGGAGACGGGAGGAGGAGGUGGUGGUGGCCAUGGAGGAACGGGCCGAGUCGACGACGAGUAGGUGGUGGGUGGGAAAUGGAGUUACGGAAGAGUGGCCGUGGUGAAGUGGAGAGGGGUGGCGACGUGGACCGCUCGGAGGAGGAGGUCGCCAAUCUGCCAUCGUGGAUGGAUUUGGAUUUUCUGGACGGCGAUCCAUGGGGCCCUCGAAGGCUUCUUUCGCCGUGGAAAACGCGGUGGGUGCUGUUUCCCCUUUCCCGGAGGAAGAACGGAGAACCCCUCUGCCACCGGGAGUAUUCACAGUGCUCACAAUAGCGUUCUUUUUUUUUUAACUUCAGUACAGACAUAUACACGCGCAUACACUCACCCCUAUGAACGUACACACGCACACCCUACCCCUAUGAGCACCUCCGAAAUACUGAGCCGGCAUAUCAUCUUGAGAUUUACGAAGUCACCAUAAGCGCCUCGUCGUCUCCCACUGAAUAUGCAUCGCCGGAAAUCCUGAAAUAAAUCCAGGAAUAAAUGCGAGCACCAUGAUUUGAACCCUGGUGGGCUGGGGAUACCACAGUCCCUCUAACCAUCCAACCACAGGUUGGUUCGCGCUCACAAUAGCGUUCUAGCUGAAUCUGGUCCUGUUGUAAUUUAUUUAUUUUUGCCAAAUUAUGUACUACUUCCUCCAAUUAUUAAACCCAUUAAGCGUCGUGUGUAGAGCGGCCAACUAGCUAUGCACGUCCAGCAAACUGGUUGGCCAAAUUUUUUAGAUGAGCAUGAGGAUUAUUUUUUAAAUGUAUUUUCUUUUUAGAUGGAGGUGAGCAGCUUCGGUAUUUUUUAAAUGGAGGUCAAAGUGCCGCUCGCUGGUAGGCUGCGGUGGUAAUUUUCUCCUUUUUUAGAUGAAUGUAAGGAUUUUUUUUCGAGAUGUUUUUUUAGACGAUGGUGAGGAGAUGUUUGUUUAGACGUAGGAGAGGAUUGUAUGUAUUUUUUUUAAUGAAAACAUGCGCACAACUUUUUUUCAAGCUAGUCCAAAUUAAUUGUCGUAGCAGCUUUAUUACAGGAGUACCUAUGUUCCUGAAUGUAACUGAACUGCCAAAACAUGUUACUCCUGAGUGAUCGGCGCCGGUGCGUCGGCCCAAACUUUUGGCCGGCCUAUUUCCCACCGUAUAACAUUAAAACUCUUGUAACCAUCCGAUGCGGGUUAUCUUCCUCGUCCAUCCCUAAAGCAAACAACCAAAAAGGAAAUCUCGCCUCCACCCAAAAAAAGCAGUGCGGUCAACACCUUCACACCAGGUCAUCCACUCGUCCUCCCCCGGUCAUCACUCUCGCCACCCUCGGCCUCUCCGUCGAAGCUCGCCGCCUUUGACCUUGGCAUCAAAGCAGCGCCUAUGGUUGUUCGCAGCCUUGCCCUCACCAGUUGUAGAUGGCACGCAACCGCUUGCAGCUCCGUGUGGUCUUGGUCGCAACCUCUCCCGCCGUGUUAUGGCUGUGCUCGUCAAGCUCCGACGGGGGUACCGCCCAUGGCUAUCGGGUCAGUGUCGUGUCCGGUCGAAGCAAUGACUGAUCACGGUUGUAGCACUCCAGCAUCACGGUUGUAGAUCCCCACCGAUCACAACUCCAGCCAACAAAGAAUUAGUCCCAACACCCUCAGUUUGUUGUUACCCAGCAAAGAUGCUCGCUAGUCGCAUCAUACUUGGUUGCCGGUUCCAGCAAAAUGAGCAAAUUGGUGCGCCGGUCAUAGCUCUGUCACCGUCUCAUAGGCUAGUUCCGGCAAAAAUGUUUGUCGGUCGCAGCAUCUUUGGCUGUUGGUUCCAGCAAAACGGCUUGCUGGUCGCGGCUCUGUGGAAUGCCGGUUCCAGCAAAUCUCGCACGCAUCACCACCAUCGCCGCCAUGGUCGGUUGCAGCCAUUUCAUAGUCGGUUGUAGCACGCGAGGUUGUCAGUUCCAGCAUCUCAUCUGCACCACAUGGACACCCAUGGCCGGUUGCAGCAAUCCCUUGGCCUGUAGUAGCUUCUUCUUAUGUCGGUUCCAGCAAAAAUCUCGCACCACAAUGCCGCCUAUGCCGCCGGGUGAUGUCUUGGCCGGAUGCAGCAUUUUUGUGGCCGGUUGUAGCGCACGCGGAUGCUAGUUCCAGCAAAACACAUCGUGCCUUGGCCGUGCGCACCACCACCGCCGCUCAUUGUAGCAGUCGUCGCCGGCCGUUGUAGCAAGUUCGUGCGCGAAACCACCACUGCAUCGUUGCAGCGCCCUAAUGACGGUUCCCGUAGCUUCGCCAACAGGGACUCGCAGCUAUAGUUGGGUGGAGGCCAUCGCUGGGAUCCAUGAGGGUUGUAAGCAGCCAUGACUGCGAGGGAUGUGAAUUGAGGAGAAGGAGGGUUGGGAGAGGGGCUCGUUGGCCAGGACGGAGAGGCGACAUUGGGCGCCAAGGAGGUUGUCUGGUUAAGCCAUGGAUGAUGGCGAAGAAGGACAAAAGGAGAGACAUUGAAUUGAGGAAGAAGAAGGUUAACGUGAGCUCGCAGAAAGUGAGUGGUGAGACCGGCCGAACGCUUGGCCGGUCGGUCGGCCACAAACGUUUCCCAAACGAAAUACAUUUACAAACAGAGGGUGUGGUAUAAUUGUGUGCCAAAAAGGUUAGAUAUCUAUAAAAAACUGCAAGAAGGUGUUUCUUAGUUUUAUUGUACGUACUCCCUCCGAUCCAUAUUAGGUGUACUUAGGAUGCGUUUGGUUGAAGGUGUCGUAUGAAUGGGUUGGGACCGUUCAAUUUUUUUGGGAUUGAACCAUUCAAUUCAUGUGUUUGGCUGAAUAUAAGUGGUGAGCUAAUUAUUUAGGACGGGACCACCAGUCAUGCUCACAUAGUCAUGCAUGCAAAGGGUGGCCAUUUGAUUCGACCGAUUUGGUUGGGUGGAACGGUUCAGCAUCUUCAUGGCAUAUUCUCUUUUUUUGGCUCGAACCAUUCAUGUGCUUUAUAACCAAACAUGUCUAUUUUCUGAACGAUCCCAACCCAUUCAUGACCGCCCUUGCAACCAAACGCACCCUAAAUCAGCGACGAUUAAUAUCGAUCCAUAUUAGGUGUACGUACUCUUUUUCUUCAUGGUAAUAUGUGUCUCAUUCAUAUCAUAAAGAUCAAAAUACAAGUCACGUAAGGACCGACAUGACAAAACUGAAAAGAUAGCAGAACAUCUCUGAGUUUGACGCCACCGUCCGUCACCUGCCUCCGGCACCACCAUAGCAGCCACUGAAGAAAAUAAUGACGAAUCACCUCCUCACCCGAGCUUGACAUGGCUCCAUUGCUGAUAUGCAGCUUUGCGGACCUCCAAGGUGGCUCACCAAAAGUGAAGCCCUUGUCUUUGAACGAACCAGACCGGGGCAAUACCCCGGACACGCCAUCGAACUCCAAAUCUGGCACCCCACCACAACUAAUACGCCGAAGGAGGAAAUCAUACCCGCUAUCCACGAACCACGAACAUAGCACAUGUUCCAAUCUUCUAAAUAUCGUCGAUACAGACCACAAUCUGCAUCCGCUCCUGGACUACCUCCCAAGCUCCACACCGACGCUGGAGCAAACAUCGUCGCAACGACGGAGCCCGAGGACACAGGUCCACCACGAGGAUGCAGCCGCCGUCACGCCAUCCUUACUUGAAUAGACUGGUUUCCAAAUUCAUCCCCAAUCAUAGGACCGAUGGCCUUGUCAGAGAAGGAUUCGAAGAAUCUUUAUUCAGCGCUGUCAUCGUCGUCGCUGAAGCAAGACGAUGAACAACCUAAACAUCAAGACUAUAAGAGAGUAAAAACGAUCCACACGCGUGGAUCCGGCGAUCCCUCUCACCAUUGACGAUCGGGGUCGUCGGCGGAGGGGGGUCACCGGAGAACGGCGCUGGAAGAUUGGACUCUCCUGGCGGCGACUAGGGUUCCAGCCGCCAGGAGCGAGAGACGUGAGGAAAAACGAUUAGUCGACGAGAUUUCCUAGGUGCGUCUUCAAACUAGUAACUAUUAGGCGUACGUACGUACUCCCUCCGAUCCAUAUUAGGUGUACUAAAUCAACGACGAUUAAUACCGAUCAGGGGGAGUACUAGAUUUCAUCUCACACAACGUAUUUUAACAAAAAAAAUCAUGAAUGGUUUCGCAAAAAAAAAUCAUGAAUGGAAGUACAUUUACACUUUAGAGCAUGCUUGAUUUGAUGCCAAAUUUUUGCUUGCCAAAGUGUGGGCAAAGCCAAAAAAAUUUGGGUGUCAAUUUGUUGCCUACUCACUCUUAGUGAUCUAAACACUCUUAUAUUUCUUUACGGAAGGAGUACUAAAUUGCUUUGCCAAUCCCAUAGUUAGAGAGCUGCACGAACAUGAGGUCUCUUAGCGAUUUGUGACCAUCGGAACAACCCGAAAUUAUGAUCACCCGGUUGACGUUACAACAACCUGAAAGUACAUCAUCUGCUAUGAGUAUGCUUAAUACUCUCAUGGUUUAAGAAAUUAUGUAAACGUUAAAUUUUGCGUGAUUCUACUAAUAACUGAAUGACGAUAUGAUCUCGGAGUAUAUAUCAAUUGGUUGGGUCUAUUCAACAUAUGUGUCGUUCCAACAACGUGUCAUCAAAGUUGCCUGCAUCUUUGUUACAUAACUAUACUCAUGAUCAGGAAAAUAGAAUUAUCUACAACACGCUAGUCUUAGAGCUGAGACUAGAACUCAAUUUUACCUUUUAUUAUCCCGCACAUGUAUAUGAGUUUUUCUAUGAGCCUCCUGGUUAUGCGGACUCGAGAACCAUUGCAAUUAUAACACAUACAAUAAACAUCAAUUACGGACAUGGAAAUAAAUACUCCCUCUGUUCAUAAAUAUAAUUCUUUUUAGAUAUUUCAAUAUGGACUACAUACGGAGCAAAAUAAGUGAAUCUAUGCUCUAAAUUAUGUAUAUAUACACCCGUAUGUACUUAUAUAUAUAUAUAUAUAUAUAUAUAUAUAUACAUAUAUAUAUAUAUAUAUUAAAAUCUAUAAAAAAGACUUAUAUUUAGGAAUAGAUGGAGUAAUAACUUCUAUUAUUGCCCCCAGGGCAUAUUUUCUUCAGGCCGCAACUGACAUGAUACUUCGACAUCAUGACAAGAUGAUCAUAUUUGUUGCAUACAAAUACCAGUUCAACUACAAUGAUGUGUUGGAGGCGGAGAUACAUGCAAUGGUGCAAGGCAUGGCUCUAGCCCUGCAAACACAUUGAGCUUCCGAUCAUUGUGCAUUCAGAGACGAUUCACUAUUUCGUUCUCCAUAUGGCCAUCUAGCAUUGAAGAUCAAAGAGUUGAGAGGUGUUCGGAAGUUUUAUUUCGCAAAAGCUUCAUCGCAACCAGAAUAGUGUAGUAGAUUGUUUGGCAUGAUAUAGCCACACUGGAAGUAGCACCGUUGUCUAACUACACAGAGGACCACAUGUAUGGAGGAAUUCUUGCCUCUUAAUUGUAACUCUAUAAUCUUGAAUAAACUCCUCCCGCCGUUUUCUCUCAAAAAACAAACCCCUACCCGAGGCAAAAAGAAGAUGCUUGAAUGCCCGUACACCUAUCCAGCUUGUCAAAUAGCCAUUGAUGCAUAUAUUCUAGCUUGACACUGUUUUUAUAUACAAGGUCACUAUCAAAAUUACAAUUUUCAACUAUACAAGGCCACUAACAUCAAUCGAGGUAAAAUUGAUGAGGUUUACCUCGUAUUAGCAACCGAGGACAUUAAUACCCCUUGCAUGCAUGUGGGAGUAAGAAGCUUAGUUUUUAUGUACCACAUUAAUCAACCAACGAGGAGUGAGAGGGUUGUCUUGUUGUGCGUUGAAGAGGAAAAUACACAUUAAUUAACACGUCGAGCGAGGAGAAAAGACAAGCUUGCAACAUUAGCUUAAGUAAGCGUUGAUUUCUAUCUUGAUACCUGUAGUAUGGGUUUAUGGCCUUGUAUACAAAAAUGAAGGGAGUACCUUUCAGCUUGAAAGAGUUCACUCUCCACUCAAUCCCAAUCUUCGACAUCCAUCUAGAACCCAUCAAACCCCUCCGAUUUGGAAAAUAGUUAUAGACGAAACGGUAAAAAAAAAAGGUCAUCGGGAAGCUCAAACCGCACCCCGCGCCUACAUCCAACUCAAUCAAACCUGUAAGCGACCACCUCACUCAUUGCUCCCAAGGACGUGCAAUUACGGAGGUGCAAUGUUGCGUCCUUGUUUGAGUUUUUCUCUUUGCGGUGUUCCAAGUUCCAAGUUCAUUGAUUUUUUAUUUUUGCAAAUAAAGUUUAUUUUAAAAUUGUUAAUCCGAUACAACUUCAGUUAUUUUACUAUACUAGUUUAUGUAGUCCAAUGAUUCCUCAACUUCGUCUGUUCUCUACUCCGUCUUUUGCUCUAAAUAAAAAUGAUGCAUGAUACCUGUUACUUCAUCCGUUUUAAAAUAGAUAACUCAAUUUUAUAUUAAGUUUAGUACAAAGUUAGUAUAAAGUUGGGUCAUCUAUUUUGGAUGAAAAUGGACAAAACUGGUCCUUAUCUGAAUCUUCAACACAAAAUGGCCCCAAUCUGGAAAAAAAAUCACGAAAUGGCCCCUUUUGCAUGACGCCCGAGACUAGGGCGCCAUGCUAGAUAGCAUGACGCCUCAGGCUAGGGCGUCAUGCUAUAUGGCAUUGGUGCCCUACGCCGGGGCGCCAUACUACAUGUCGUUAUCAUGGUGCCCUUGCCCGGGGCGUCAUGCUCUCUGGCAUGGCGCCCUAGCCCCGAGCGUCAUGUAAAAGAGGGCCAUUUUAUAAAAUAUUUCCUAGAUUGAGGUUAUUUUGUGUUGAAGUUUUAGAUAAGGGCCAGAUUUAUUCAUUUUCACCUAUUUUGAAACGGAGGGAGUAGACGGGAGCUGCAUGCCAAACAAAGGAAUUGAGUUUUACACAUGAUGAAUAUCCGUAUCUUUUUGAGGAUUUCUGGCAAAUUUCGUAAUGCCACAAGGGCCAAACCGCAAAAGUUCUAAUAUCUCGCGCUUCGAACGUUAUCUCCAAUCUCUCGUCUCGUGUCCCAUCCACGUCUCUCCGGCGUGCCCGCUCCAACUCUCAUCCAAUGGCCUCGCCGCACGCCGACCCGCAGCAGCACCACGCGUCGGCGCCGCCCCUCCUGCUCGCCGUACGCCGCAUCCCGUACCCGGGGGCCCAGCGGCCGCGCGCGCUCCCCGCCCCGGACCUCGCCCCUCUCGCGCGCCGCCUCGACGAGCUCACCGCCGCGGCGGCCGCCCACCCGCUCCUGAAGCCGCUCUUCGACCUCCGCCACCACCUCUCCACCUUCUCUCAGGUACGCAAACGUUCACGCCCUAGUGGAGCUUCGUGAAAACGCGCGCCGGCGAUCUUCCGAACUGACGCCGUAGGCCCGGCCGAUGCGAGGAGCAGAGCAGGAGGCAGAGGAUGGUGGCGAUGCGGCAGGCGGCGUGCCCGCUGGCCGGCGGCGAGGGCUGCUUCGCGGCGGUGCUGGGCGGGUCCGUGGCCGGCAUGGUGGUGUCCAACGGCGUCAACAGCUUCCUCAGCCUCUACAACACCGUGCUCGUCAUCCGUCUCGUCCUCACCUGGUUCCCCAACACGCCGCCCGCCAUCGUCUCGCCCCUCAGGUACACAUUGCAAACUGUAAGACGCAACGCACUAUCCCAGCAGUAGCAAUACAAUCUACAAUGAUGCGUCAGACCAAUCGAACGACACAAGAAAACCACCACAUUUCCGUAGCCAUUUUUCAGUUGCUAGCGUGUACUCUACUGGUAGUGCUGUUUGCAUUGGAUGAUUCAGAGAACGUAGGGAAUUAAAAUUGGUCACUGGCACCUACCACUAAGACGCAAUGAUCGCAAUCACUAUCAUAAUCUUGGUUAGAAGUCGUAAGGAGGCGCGACAGUGCAAAAGCAGAAAGGCUUUUGCUUCACUUCACGGAACAGAUGUACAGUUUGGUUUGGUGACUUUCUGAAGAUGUUGUUGUGGCGUGCAGCACGGUGUGUGACCCGUACCUGAACAUCUUCCGGGGCAUCAUCCCGCCGCUGGGAGGGCUGGACCUGUCCCCCAUCCUCGCCUUCCUGGUGCUCAACGCCCUCACCGGCACCGCCGCCGCGCUCCCGGCCGAGCUCCCCGCCCAGAACGCCGCGUCCGGCUCCGUGCACCCUGACGAGCUCACCGCCAACCAGAGGAAAUGGAUGCGGAGAUUCCGCCCGGGGAAAUCGCAAGAGGCUGCUGGUGCUCGCUAGACUUCAUGCAAUUUUGUGGAGUGCUCUGUAACCAUCAAAUGCAUACUGUCAUUCGGCAUGUCGAAUUACCACUGAGGCCUGUUUUUUCUUCUUCUUCUGAUGAAUGUGUAUGUAGAGGAACCAAAUUGCUUGACUGUAAUGACAUGUUUUUGGUAUCUGAUAAGUUUCUCACUUUGUUGAUUGCUUGAGGAAAUGAAACAAAAAACCCCAUGUCUCACACAUAACAAGGGAAAAUAAACAUUAAGAAACAUAUCGCUUUGGCUUCUAAAUCUUUGAGGAUUGAUGUUAACUACAGCCGUUUAGGCACAAUUCGUUUUAAGAAGCAAAGCCUCCUGGAUCUGCACAGUCAGCAUAUAGUUUCAAUGAAAAUCGUCUUAUAAAAACACCCACAUAAUUUACAUGACAAGGUCAGAAUUUGAUGGUUCUUCUCUGCCACUGUACUUGCUACUGCGUCCUGAAUGGAUCCAAGCAUUCUUGCUGCUUGAAGGGUGAGGUGGUGUUAUUGGCUGAAGCAUAUACUAGUUUACAACAUAUAAUGUACUCCCUCCCUUCCUAAAUACUUGUUUUUCUAGACAUUUCAAAUGACUACUACAUACGGAUGUAUGUAGACAUAUUUUAGAGUGUAGAUUCACUCAUUUUGCUCCGUAUGUCGUCACUUGUUGAAAUGCCUAGAAAGACAAGUAUUUAGGAACUGAGGGAGUAUGAUGCACUAGCAACAUUACUGAACAACUUGGAGCAUUGUCAUAUGUAUAGCAAAAUUCCUGCAAACUUUGUAUGGGGAUAUUCAAGUUCAGGAAUGCUCUGUGGUACUCUGGAUUCAGGACGGAGCUGACCAUUUGAACUACUGAUCAUGCUGGUUUGGGGACUUUUGAGAGGCAAGCAAGAAGUCCAAGACGACCUCGUUGAACCGAUUCGGGUCCUCCAUCUGCGGCACAUGCCCGGUUUCCUUGAAGAUUUCCAACCUCACAUUCUCUCCUAAGCACCUGAAACCAUCAUAAGCACACUAGUAAUCACGCAAGAGGUUAUGCUGCGAUUUGUAAAUUUGCAUCACAGUAUACGUAGAAAAUUUACAGUAUACUGUAUACAUGGACCAUGGUGUGCAGUGGAGCAGAAGUAAGAUCGACCAUUUCAAGUCACUGUCAGUUCUUGCGCUGGGAUAGCUAUGGAUUACCUCUUGACAGCGAAUGCCUUGUCCACAGGGAAUAUCUGGUCAUGGUCUCCCCAGACGAGCAAAACAUCCUGCCAUUCAUAAGAUCGAAUACAUAGUUAACAGAGGUUCUGAAAGAUACACUACUGUAUUUCAGAAACAGAAUACAGUGCGGCUGCGUCGAAUUUGCUCUUCAUUUUGUGCAGAGUUUUACCUGCUCCAAGGGUGUAAGUUGGAACUCAUCUGUCCCUACAGUGAUGGCCUUCAUAAGCUCGAUCUUCUCCUCCCUCUUAUCGCUGAAAAGUCUCUGCAAAUUGACAAGAUCACUGAUCGGUACUGUACUGGCAUUUAUUGAUCAAUUAUUAGUGUAGUGCAGAGGCAACAAUGGAUGGGCCACCUGCACGCCCUCUCUGAUCAGGAAGUCCGGCAGCAUGGAGGUGACCUGCUUCCGGUAGAACGAGAGCUCCAUGAGCCGCCGCGCCGUGCGCGCGUCCAGCGGCAUGAGCAAGUCCGCCGCGCUCGCCCACUCGCCGCCGGCGCGCUCGAGGAACGCCCUGUCGUCCUCCGCCGUCUUGAGCAGGUCGGAGUUGGAUAUCACCACGGGGCCGACCCUCGCGGGCCCCGCCGCGCGCGCCAGGGAGUAGGCCACGAACCCGCCGUAGCUCGUGCCGGCCACGGCGACGCGCGCCGUCGCCGCGAGGCCCGGGAGCGCGUCGAGCAGCGCGGCCAGCGCGGCGGCCUGCGCCGACUCGGAGGGCGCCGGGGAGGAGGGGCAUGGGGAGGAGCCGCCGAAGCAGAGCAGGUCCGGGACGACGACGUGGAAGCGGCGGGAGAAGGGGCCCACCUGUCGGCGCCACUGCCAUGUGGCCAUGGGCCCGAAGCCGUGGAUGAGGAGGAGCGGCGGCAGGCGCGGCUCCCCCGGCGGCGCCCAGUAGUGGAUCGUUCGAGCCCCGCCGCCCUCGCCGGGGUCGCAGGGGAGGGUGACGGUGUGGGGGCAGAGGCCGGCGGCGUGGAAGGCGCGGCGCGAGAGGUACUCCAUCACGGGGAGGAAGCUGAAGCCCAUGGUGGCGCGGCGCCGAGCACGUGCACCAGUGCAGCAGCUGGAGCGACGAAAUGAAGCGGACGAAGUCGACUGGGUCUUAAAUAGCCGUAUAGAGCGGUGGCCGCUCGCCGGAGCACCGACACGUCAAAGCAAAUUCUGUCGGCUCUGGCAUACCUCAUACAGUACGUACGUAUGUACUCUAGAUAUAUCCCCUUCUAUUCAUUUUGAUGACAAGUAUUUCCGGACGGAGGGAGUACGAGUACAAGUGUGGCUAUGCCGAAAUUUCUAGGUUAAAAAUGGGAAACAAACAAUGUGCAGGUGUGUGUGUGUUCAUAUUGAUCAACGAUUUUCAAAUAAUUUGGUGUACACGCCAGUACACCAAAAGGAGUAGCCAAUUAUCGUCGCUGGAUGUUAUAUGGACCUGCUGUAAUUUCUGUUAGUUCUAUUUUUUUUUGAACUACAACGAUGUUUGAUGAAUAGAUCAAAGAUUUCUUAAAAAGGAAAACUCAUAGCGAUCAUCCAAAAAAAAACACUCACAGCAAGGUGCCAUUGAUAUAAAGCAGGGUCAAGCUCAAAACUCCUGUUUUGAUCCCGAGCUCAAAUGCACCCCAUGAACACUACAAUUGACGAAAAAAGAUAAAAAUUCAAAAAAUUCUGUUUUUUCUUUGGUAAAUUUUGACAAAUACUCCCUCCAUCUAAAUUUAUUGUCUUAGAUUAGUCUAGAUAUGGAUGUAUCUAAUAUUAAAAGGUGACUUGAUACAUCCUAGUAAAAUUUCAGCACGGAAUAACAUUUGUGGAGGUCAUGGCAAAAAAAGUAAAAAUCAAUAGUCCAAAAUAUUUUUAGAACUAGCAUUUUUGGAGCAUCGAUUUUGUUUUUUUGCUAUGACCUCCACGAAUGUCAUUUUGUGCUGAAAAUUUUCAAGCAUACAAAACAUUUGUUAAAGUUUACCAACCAAAACAAUUAGAUUUGUUUGAAUUUCUUACCAAAUUUUUAAUUUACUGUUCAUCAGGGUGCAUUUGACCUCGGAAGCAUAUACUCCACGUCCGGUCAAGCUUGUCAUCACCCAGAAGUCCAACGGGACCUCGUUAAACCAGGCACGGUCCUCGAUCUGUGGCAAUGGCAUGUUUUCUUUAUGGCAUCCACCCUUCCUUUUCCAUUGAAACCCCACGGGCCCCGCGUCGCUCCGCAAGGGCGGCAUGGAUGGCGAAUCCCAGCUGCCAUCAGAUCGAUCCUCCUUCUCCACCUCCUCUCCUCGUCAUCGAUGGUGCUCGCCGCUGGGCAAAGCUCGUGCGGUGGCGGCGGCAGUAGGGCAUCUCCCCUCGCGCCUGUUUUGAGCUGGCGGUGGUUCGUCCCCGCAUGCAGCGCCGUGGACGCGGAUCUGGCGGAUAGCCGAGAUGCUACGGCUGGACACGGCGCAGGCAUGCACCACGUUGUGGUGCCCAGGGAACGGUGGCGCAUAGGCACAUGCAACAGAGAUUCACCGCUUCUACUGUUUCGUACUUGACCCCAAGUAAGAUCCUGACGGAUCGUGCCAGUUAAAAUCGACGCCACCGGAUAAAGUACUAAGAAGGUGCGACGUAAAAUGGUCGCGCCCAUCUCAAGUAAGGCAAUAAAGUCCAGUUUAUGUUCUAAUGAUAUUUUUGCAAGGAACCUUCUUUUAGCCAAGCGUGCCAAACCUCUGCUAUUUCAAAAAAAUUCUUUCAUUUGUAUAGGUUUGAGUGUUGAGAUAUACUCCCUCCGUAAAGAAAUAUAAGAGCGUUUACAGAUGGGAGUAUACAGUGUGGUUCUAGAUGCGUGGGAGUAUAUAGUGUGGUUCUAGAUGACGCAUCCGCGUAGGGCUCACAUUAGCUAUUUGCGGUUGUAGAUGAUCAAAGGACGUGACUUGGAACUUGUUCUGUGCGACUGUGCCGACUGUGAUCCACUGAUCCCAUUCAAAACAUGGAUAAGCUGUCCCCUGUUCUCCGUGAAGAGCUUCUAACAGGAUACAACAAGACCAUCCGAUUCAGAAUCGCAGCUAUCUUUAUGGCCAAACACACAGCUGAAAUUACUAAUGUUGCGAAAUCAUGAAUACUCCAUCCAGUCUCCAUCAGUACCAGCUUUGCCAAGAAGAAAAGGCUUUGCCAAAACAACAAUCAAAAAGGGACAAAUCUUUCUCAGUCAAGAUAAGCGGUUCGGCAUGAAUAUAACUGCACUGUGCAUCGUCUGCUAAAUCUGAAAAGGGUAGGAAAUAAGUGCAGCGUUAUUAGAUUUGUUAGGCAGGAGGUGUCGGCUACAGAGUCGUGGCCAAUUUAUUUUUUCUGUCAGUCCAAGCUCUACUACUAUAGAUCGACAAGUUCAUCUUUCAAUAUUGAACAAAAAGGGUGUUCAUCUUCGUCGAAAAAGUAACUGGAACGGGUGCUCGUCGACAGCAUCUUCAAAAAUACAGAUGCAUACGUUCGCUAUGUGUGGUCACUGGUCAGUCAGACAAAUUACAGAGAGCUUGUCGUGGACUGGCUGGACAAGAACGGAAUGCUGGCUGUGUUCGCAAGUCUGUAACUGAACCUGCACAUCGUUUCUGAAUUGACAGGACAAUUUUUCUGCUUUAACCUCUUGUGCUAACAAAUUUCAGAAUUGACCUCGUUCGUUAAAAAAGUUCAAAUCUAACCUUUUUUGGUCAUGCCAACAUCCUUGACGUUUGGCUUACACGGGAGAUGCCAUGGUCCAUGGCGUCUGUACCUGGCCUGAGCUUAGCUGGCGUUGACGUGGCAAAGCGAAACGCCAUGCUCCUUGGCGUUUGGAGGAAACGCCAUAAAUCUUGGCGUUUGGUCCCUGGGCGCUCAGAUUUGACUAGCUGCCAUUGCUGCAUGCACGCACGUCGUCUACCUGCCAUAGCAUGCUUAGGUGAGUGACAUGAGGGCAUCUCCAGCCGUUCGGCCCCCAGGGCGCCUAAAUAGAGCGGCCUGGGGGCGUGCCGGCGCUAGUUCAGCCCCUGGGGGCGACCUAGCUCCCAGUCACGCCCCCACGCGCCGGCCUCAGGAUGCGGGAAAUUUAAACUUGGUCGUUCCCGCUCUCAAAAGACGCCGCCGCAAAUCCGGCGAUCGGACGUAGUCUGGCGUUACAAAACAGAGCGCCCGGCGCGGCUUCGCGUGCGCAACGAUUCACUCGGCGGGGUCGGCUCCAGGCGUUGGCGGAGUCGGCGUGCGCGGGCUCGUCGGUGUCGGAGCUGCUUCGGUGCUGGGCUGCGUCGGCGCGGCUUCGGCACUGCUGGGCGGCGAUGUAGAGGCGUCGUUCGGGCUUGGCGUCCGUGUGGUCGUGGGCGUCGGCGGCGUCGUUGGCAUUGCCGUCGGCAGCUCGUUCAGGAUGAGGCCGCGCUGCACCAGGUACCACGCCUUGAGCUUCUCGUCGUUGCUCUGGAGCAUGUCCGCCCCGCCCAUCAGAAAAGCCAUGUCGGUGUUCCUCUUCUUCGUGGCGACGUUCGUCCGGAGCAGGUCGAGCUUGAUGGCGUUGUUCUUCAUUAGCGACGACCACCGCGCCUCGGUCUUCUCUUCGCGUAGGACGGCCCGGGCCUGGGCGUCGGCGAGGCAAUGCUCGAUGCACUCCUGCACUCGCGCGGUUGCCGCGUCGGCGCUUUUCCCCUUCUUUGCCAAUUUGUGGCCGUCCGGCCGCCCCUCUGACGCGCCCGGAGUCGUCGCGUCCGGCUUGUAUGUCUCCUUGGCCUUGUCAAGGGCACGUCGGACUUCCGCCCACUUCUCGCACUUGUCAAUGCGCUUGUAGACGUGGAGGUGCUUGAAGUCGACGUCUUGGUUGUCGCCCCGAUACAUGGCGAACAUACGCAGCAGCUGCGCGGAGGGACGAACAGUUGGCGGGCGGCGGGCGCACGAGACGAAGAUAUGCGGGCGAACGGCGUGCGCACCUGAUCCUCAAUGCUGGCGCCGCUCUCCGGGCGAGCCGCGACCUCCUCGAUGAUUCCAUGCCAUUUGUCGCACGCCAACUGGAUACGCCCCCAAUGGUUCACCAUCGCCUUGGAGCCGCGCUGCAUGUAGACACCUUUGAAGUAGGGGUCGACGAGCUUCCGCUCGUCGAACUCGGCCUUGAUGCGGUCCCAGUACGUCUUCAAGCUCUGGUUCGCGCAGAUGGUCGAGUCGAGGCAGACGACUUUCCAUGCUUCGGCGAGGCAUUCCUCCUCCUUGGACGCCCACUUGAUGCGCGGUUCGCCUGACCUAGCCGCCCGCUUCUUCUUCUUCUGGCGCCCCUUCGUCAGAACAGGAGCCGGCUCCUCCUCCUCCUCCUCCUCCUCCUCCUCGUCCUCCUCCUCCUCGGGUUCCUGCGCGUCGUCGCCGUAGACGUAGCCGAGCUCGGCCUCCAUGUCGCCGCUAAGGUCCACUACCUCGUCCUGGGUGGCGAACCCGGGAGACACGGCGGCCGCGGCCGAUCCUGUCGCGAUGAUGUCGUCCAUGUCGGCUCCAGUGUCGUCGGCGUCGCCGAGGUGCGAGAAGGGUAGCGGUCCACGGUAGAGAUGGGGCGUCGGUGUGGACGCGUAGGCGGCGGGCGGCGAGUAGUUGUAUGGAGGGUACUGCACACCGACGAAGGCGGACGAGGGCGUGCGCGUAGCGGGGUGACAUGAGGGAAGGUCAUGUUUGGGUUGAACCCACCGUGCGCGUCGCCGUUGACGUAGCCGGGCGACGAUGAACCCCAUGGAGAUCCGGCGCCUUGCUGUCCCCAGGGCGCAUACUGGGCGUGGCUGACGACGGGUGGAUUCAUCCCCGCCUGGUCGACCGAUGAGGAAGACGCCGCCGCGCGUGCCGCGUUGUCGCGGGCCUUCUUGGCUAUGGUCAUGUUCCGCCUGUCGGCGGUGACUGCUUCGCGCCGCUGAACUUCCACCCUCCACUCGGCGUUCGACAGGCCCGGUGGCUUCGAUGGCGGCGCCCUAGGCUUCCUCUGCUUCGGCUAGGCCACGACGCCAGUCGCGGUUGCCGCCGCGCGUGGCACGGCAUACUUUUUCGACGGCAUGGCGUACUUCUUCGCGGCGAGCGGGAGGGGGUUUGGCGGGAGAAAGGGAGAGAAUGGCGGGAGGAAGGCGAGCGAGCGGGAGAGAUGCGAGGGAAAAGCGUCAAGAAACGGCGGGAAAAGGCCCUCGGGUCGCCUCCAGGGUGGGCCCACGUGCCUUUUUCGCUUGUGCCGGCUCCCCAAGCGCCCCCCAGGGCGCCGGGUUCGGCCUGGGUCCGCUGGCACCAGUUUUGGCCCGAGCCGGCGAAAAACGGGCUUCUGGGGGCGCGACUGGGGCCUUUUUUUGGCGUCGGCGCGGCAAAAUCGCCUGGUGAGGGCCUGUUGGGGGUGCGGCUGGAGAUGCCCUGAGACGUAGGUUCUAUGCGUCCAUGCAUGCAUGGAUAAGUAGGUCGUUAUGUGGCGGAGCACGUUGAUUAUCAGCGAUGAGCGGUGACAGUGUCCCUAGUUCUUUCAUGAUUUGUUUUAUGUUAAGAAGAUUCUCUGACCCACGAAUGGUAAAAUCGAUAUAUACUCUACCAUAAGUGCUACUAGAUAGAUUCCUUAACCAAGUCCUGGGUAUUAUCCUUACACUCACCUAUGCAACUGUACUACAAUGUUAGAGCAUCUAUAGGCGGAAACCUCAAACCAUCCCUUAUACGCCUGCGGACGUGCCCGGUCAGUGACUGGACAGGAGAGAGAAGAAAAAACGCGACCCAAUCGAACCCCUUGUAUCGUUCCUAUAUAUGCCCGGGCUGUCUGUGAACCCUCAUAUACAUCUCAAAUAUGGGGAGGAUAUGAGGGCUCGUGGAUGCACCUGGGCAUUCCGCAACGUAGGACGCGGCCCCACCCCGACCAUCUUUCUCUUUCUUUAUUCUUUUUAUUUUUCUCUUUUCAUCUCCAACAAUCAUGUGCAAGUGUCCGGACAUAUGAGAAAAAAAUGAGUAUGGCUGCGCAGGCGGAUAAAUAGGGGCUCAAACGGACACGCCCGGUCACUGACCGGCCGCGUCCGCGGGCGUUUAAGGGUUCAUAUUUGCUAUGUCUGGCUGUAGUGCUCUUAGCAUUCUUGCACCGUAGUUCCCUUUCAGAGUACGGAGUACAUAGCACCAAAAUCACUGAGACGUUCCUCUUUGGUUCUGAAUCGAGUAAAAUGCAUAAAACCAUCACAAUCAUGUUCGUAAAUGCAGAAAACCAUCACAAUCGUGUCCGUAAAUGUAGUAAACUACCAUUUUAUAAAUUAUAACAAAACGCACAACAUGUAGCUCUUGACAGUGAAAAAAAAACACUGACCAAAAUUUGAAUCUCGUUUUGACGUGGCAAAUCAUACACGUGACAAAGGGAUAUACAACGCUGACAAACAUCUUCUUCGGUUUGGAUCACCAUUACGGCCUCCUCUGAUGUGUGUGGUGGUUGGUGGGGUGAUUAUUGUGUAGGCUUUAGAGCGAUAGACGAUGCAUCGGGUCUUCGUUUUAUCCUGGAGGAGCUCACCCUUGGUCAUAUAGGCGUGCAGUGGUUGGGUCCAGUCUUGGGUGUGGAUCACCAAUACUGUCAUUGACCCAUCGACCGGAGUUGGUUUCUCGGGAAGUUGCGUCUGCAGCGGCUGACGAGAGGUCACGUCGAUCAGUGCCGCCCUCUGUCCGGUCACAUCGUUGUUGGGGAACGUAGCAGAAAUUCAAAAAUUUUCCUACGCGUCACCAAGAUCUAUCUAUGGAGAGACCAGCAACGAGUAGAAGGAGAGUGCAUCUACAUACCCUUGUAGAUCGCUAAGCGGAAGCGUUCAAGUGAACGGGGUUGAUGGAGUCGUACUCGUCGUGAUUCAGAUCACCGAUGAUCAAGUGCCGAACGGACGGCACCUCCGCGUUCAACACACGUACGGGACGGGAGACGUCUCCUCCUUCUUGAUCCAGCAAGGGGGAAGGAGAGGUUGAUGAAGAUCCAGCAGCACGACGGCGUGGUGGUGGAUGCAGGGCGUCACAGCAGCAGGGCUUCGCCAAUACUACGAGGGAGAGACGUAACGGGGAGAGAGGGAGGCGCCAGGGGCUGGUGUAUGGAGGCCCUCCUCUCCCCCACUAUAUAUAGGGGUGCCAAGGGGGGGGNNNNNNNNNNNNNNNNNNNNNNNNNNNNNNNNNNNNNNNNNNNNNNNNNNNNNNNNNNNNNNNNNNNNNNNNNNNNNNNNNNNNNNNNNNNNNNNNNNNNNNNNNNNNNNNNNNNNNNNNNNNNNNNNNNNNNNNNNNNNNNNNNNNNNNNNNNNNNNNNNNNNNNNNNNNNNNNNNNNNNNNNNNNNNNNNNNNNNNNNNNNNNNNNNNNNNNNNNNNNNNNNNNNNNNNNNNNNNNNNNNNNNNNNNNNNNNNNNNNNNNNNNNNNNNNNNNNNNNNNNNNNNNNNNNNNNNNNNNNNNNNNNGGUUUCUGCAUAUACGUAUCUUCAUAACCCUAGCGUCACCGAACCUUAAGUGUGUAGACCCUACGGGUUCGGGAGACAUGUAGACAUGACCGAGACGCUCUCAGUCAAUAACCAGCAGCGGGAUCUGGAUACCCAUGAUGGCUCCCACAUGUUCCACGAUGAUCUCAUCGGAUGAACCACGAUGUCAAGGACUCAAUCGAUCCCGUAUACAAUUCCCUUUGUCUAGCGGUAUUUUACUUGCCCGAGAUUCGAUCGACGGUAUACCGAUACCUUGUUCAAUCUCGUUACCGGCAAGUCACUUUACUCGUUCCGUAACACAUCAUCCCGUGAUCAACUCCUUGGUCACAUUGCGCAUAUGAUGAUGUCCUACCGAGUGGGCCCAGAGAUACCUCUCCGUUUACACGGAGUGACAAAUCCCAGUCUCGAUCCGUGCCAACCCAACAGACACUUUCGGAGAUACCUGUAAUGCACCUUUAUAGCCACCCAGUUACGUUGUGACGUUUGAUACACCCAAAGCACUCCUACGGUAUCCAGGAGUUACACGAUCUCAUGGUCAAAGGAAGAGAUACUUGACAUUGGCAAAGCUCUAGCAAACGAACUACACGAUCUUUGUGCUAUGCUUAGGAUUGGGUCUUGUCCAUCACAUCAUUCUCCUAAUGAUGUGAUCCCGUUAUCAACGACAUCCAAUGUCCAUAGCCAGGAAACCAUGACUAUCUGUUGAUCACAACGAGCUAGUCAACUAGAGGCUUACUAGGGACAUAUUGUGGUCUAUGUAUUCACACGUGUAUUACGAUUUCCGGAUAAUACAGUUAUAGCAUGAAUAAAAGACAAUUAUCAUGAACAAGGAAAUAUAAUAAUGAUACUUUUAUUAUUGCCUCUAGGGCAUAUUUCCAACAGUCUCCCACUUGCACUAGAGUCAAUAAUCUAGUUCACAUAGCCAUGUGAUUAACACUCACAGGUCACAUCGCCAUGUGACUAAUACCCAAGAGUUUACUAGAGUCAGUAGUCUAGUUCACAUCACUAUGUGAUUAACACUCAAUGAGUUUUAUGUUUGAUCAUGUUGCUUGUGAGAGAGGUUUUAGUCAACGGGUCUGAACCUUUCAGAUCCGUGUGUGCUUUACAAAUCUCUAUGUCAUCUCCUAGAUGCAGCUACCACGCUCUAUUUGGAGCUAUUCCAAACAACUGUUCUACUUGGAGCUAUUCUAAAUUAUUGCUCCAUUAUAUGUAUCCGGUCUCUCUACUCAGAGCUAUCCGGAUAGGUGUCAAGCUUGCAUCGUCGUAACCUUUACGACAAACUCUUUUACCACCUCCAUAAUCGAGAAAAUUCCUUAGUCCACUAGUUACUAAGGAUAACUUUGACCGCUGUCCUGUGAGCCAUUCUUGGAUCACUCUUGUACCCCUUGACUGACUCAUGGCAAGGCACACUUCAGGUGCGGUACACAGCAUAGCAUACUGAAGAGCCUACGUCUUAAGCAUAGGGGACGAUCUUCGUCCUUUCUCUCUUUUCUGCCGUGGUCGAGCUUUAAGUCUUAACUUCGUACCUUACAACUCAGGCAAGAACUCCUUCUUUGACUGGUCCAUCUUGAACACCUUCAAGAUCACGUCAAGGUAUGUGCUCAUUUGAAAGUAUUAUUAAGCAUUUUGAUCUAUCCUUAUAGAUCUUGAUGCUUAAUGUUCAAGUAGCUUAAUCCAGGCUUUCUAUUGAAAAACACUUUCAAAAUAACCCUAUAUGCUUUCCAGAAAUUCUACAUCAUUUCUGAUCAAUAUGUAUUCAUCAGAAAUUCUAUAGUGCUCCCACUCACUUCUUUGGAAAUACAAGUUUCUCAUAAACUUUGUACAAACCCAAAAUCUUUGAUCAUCAUCAAAGCAUACAUUCCAACUCCGAGAUGCUCACUCCAGUCCUUAGAAGGAUCGCUGGAGCUAGCAUACCUUUUAGCAUCCUUAGGAUCGACAAAAGCUUUCUGAUUGUAUUACAUACAACCUUUCCUUACGAAAACUAGUAAGGAAACUUGUCUUGACAUCCAUCUGCCAGAUUUCAUAAAUGCAGCUAAUGCUAACAUGAUUCCGACGGACUUUAAGCAUCACUACGAGUGAGAAAAUCUCAUCGUAGUCAACUCCUUGAACUUGUCGGAAAACACUUCGCCACAAGUCGAGCUUCAUAGAUGGUGACAUUACCAUCCACGUCUGUAUUCUUCUUAAAAGAUCCAUUUAUCUCAAUGGAUUGCCGAUCAUCGGGCAAGUCCAUCAAAGUCCAUGCUUUGUUCUGAUAUAUGGAUACUAUCUCGGAUUUCAUGGCUUCUAACCAUUUGUCGGAAUUCGGGCCCACCAUCGCUUCUCCAUAGCUCGUAGGUUCAUUGUUGUCUAGCAACAUGACCUUCAAGACAGGAUCACCUUACCACUCCGAAGUAGUACGUGUCCUUGUCGUCCUACGAGGUUUGGUAGGGACUUGAUCCGAAGUUUCAUGAUCAAUAUCAUAAGCUUCCACUUCAAUUGGUGUAGGUGCCACAGGAACAACUUCCUGUGCCCUGCCACACACUAGUUGAAGAGACGGUUCAAUAACCUCAUCAAGUUUCCACCAUCCUCCCACUCAAUUCUUUCGAGAGAAACUUUUCCUCGAGAAAGGACCCGAUUCAAGAAACAAUCCAUAUUGCUUUCGGAUCUGAAUUAGGAAGUAUAACCAACUGUUUUGGGUUUCCUAUGAAGAUGCAUUUUAUCCGCUUUGGGUUCGAGCUUAUCAACCUGAAACUUUUUCAUAUAAGCGUCGCAGCCCCAAACUUUUAAGAAACGACAACUUAGGUUUCUCUAAACCAUAAUUCAUACGGUGUCAUCUCAUCGGAAUUACGUGGUGCCCUAUUUAAAGUGAAUGUGGUUGUCUCUAAUGCCUAACCCAUGAACAAUAGUGGUAAUUCGAUAAGAGACAUCAUGGUACGCACCAUAUCCAAUAUGGUGCAACUAUGAUGUUCGGACACACCAUCACAUUAUGGUGUUCCAGGCGGUAUUAAUUGCGAAACAAUUUCCACAAUGUCUUAAUUGUGUGCCAAAACUUGUAACUCAGAUAUUCAUCUCUAUGAUCAUAUCAUAGACAUUUUAUCCUCUUGUCACAAUGAUCUUCUACUUCACUCUGAAAUUACUUGAACCAUUCAAUAAUUAAGAGUUGUGUUUCAUCAAGUAAAUAUUCUCAACGUCUACUCGAAUCAUCUGUGAAGUAAGAACAUAACGAUAUUCACUGCAUGCCUCAGCAUUUAUUGGAUUGCACACAUCAAAAUGUGUUGCUUCCAACAAGUUGCUAUCUUGUUCCAUCUUACUGAAACCGAGGCUUUUCAGUCAUCUUGCCCAUGUGGUAUGAUUUGCAUAUCUCAAGUGAUUCAAAAUCAAGUGAGUUCAAACGGUCCAUUUGCAUGGAGUUUCUUCAUGCAUAUAUACCAAUAGAAAUGGUUUGCAUGUCUCAAACUUUUCAAAAAUGAGUGAGUCCAAAGAUCCAUCAACAUGGAGCUUCUUCAUGCGUUUUAUACCAUUAUGACUUACAUGGCAGUGCCACAAGUAAGUGGUACUAUCAUUACUAUCUUAUAUCUUUUGGCAUGAAAAUGUGUAUCACUGCGAUCAAGAUUCAAUAAACCAUUCCUUUAGGUGCAAGAGCACUUUAUUCAGGUUUAAUACUAAUCUUGAUGGUAGAGGGAGCGUGCGAUGUUUGAUCAUAUCAACAUUGGAAACACUUCCAAUACAUAUCGUCAGCUCACCUUUAGCUAGUCUCCGUUUAUUCCGUAGCUUUUAUUUCGAGUUACUAACACUUAGCAAUCGAACCGGUAUCUAAUACCCUGGUGCUACUAGGAGUACUAGUAAAGUACACAUUAACAUAAUGUAUAUCCAAUAUAGUUCUAUCGACCUUACCAGCCUUCUCAUCUACCAAGUAUCUAGGGUAAUUCCGCUCUAGUGACUGUUCCCCUUAUUACAGAAGCACUUAGUCUCGGGUUUGGGUUCAACCUUGGGUUUCUUCACUAGAGCAGCAGCUGAUUUGCCGUUUCAUGAAGUAUCCCUUCGUUCCCUUGCCCUUCUUGAAACUAGUGGUUUCAUCAACCAUCAACAAUUGAUGCUCCUUCUUGAUUUCUACUUUCGCGAUGUCAAACAACGCGAAUACCUCAAGGAUCAUGAUAUCUAUCCUUGAUAUGUUAUAGUUCAUCACGAAGCUCUAGCAGCUUGGUGGCAAUGACUUUGGAGAAACAUCACUAUCUCAUCUGGAGGAUCAACUCCCACUCGAUUCAAGUGAUUGUUGCACUCAGACAAUCUGAGCACAAGCUCAACGAUUGAGUUUUUCUCCCUUAGUUUGCAGGCUAAGAAAAUCGUCGGAGGUCUUAUACCUCUUGACAUGGGCACGAGCCUGAAAUCCCAAUUUCAGCCCUCGAAACAUCUCAUAUGUUCCGUGAUGUUUCGAAAAACGUCUUUGGUGCCUCUACUUAAACCAUUUAACUGAACUAUCACGUAGUUAUCAAAACGUGUAUGUCCGAUGUUCGCAGCAUCCACAAACGACGUUUGGGGUUCAGCAUAUUGAGCAGUGCAUUAAGGACAUAAGCUUUCUACUGUCCGCAUAAUUGCUACUAUCAACUUUCAACUAUAUUUUCUCUAGGAACAUAUCUAAAACAGUAGAACUAUAGCGUGAGCUACGACAUAAUUUGCAAAAGGUCUUUUGACUAUGUUCAAGAUAAUUAAGUUCAUCUUAUGAACUCCCGCUCAGAUAGACAUCCCUCUGGUCAUCUAAGUGAUUACAUGAUCCGAGUCAACUAGGCCGUGUCCGAUCAUCACGCGAGACGGACUAGUUAUCAUCGGUGAACAUCUUCAUGUUGAUCGUAUCUACUAUACGACUCAUGCUCGACCUUUCGGUCUCCGUGUUCCGAGGCCAUGUCUGCACAUGCUAGGCUCGUCAAGUUAACCCUAAGUGUUUUCGCUGUGUAAAACUGUCUUACACCCGUUGUAUGUGAACGUAAGAAUCCAUCACACCCGAUCAUCACGUGGUGCUUAGAAGCGACGAACUGUAGCAACGGUGCACAGUUAGGGGAGAACACUUCUUGAAAUUUUGUAAGGGAUCAUCUUAUUUACUACCGUCGUCCUAAGUAAACAAGAUGCAUAAACAUGAUAAACAUCACAUGCAAUCAAAUAGAGUAGUGACAUGAUAUGGCCAAUAUCAUAUAGCUCCUUUGAUCUUCAUCUUCGGGGCUCCAUGAUCAUCUUGUCACCGGCUUGACACCAUGAUCUCCAUCAUCAUGAUCUCCAUCAUCGUGUCUUCAUGAAGUUGUCACGCCAACGACUACUUCUACUUCUAUGACUAACGCGUUUAGCAAUAAAGUAAAGUAGUUUACAUGGCGUUCUUUAAUGACACGCAGGUCAUACAAUAAAUUAAGACAACUCCUAUGGCUCCUGCCGGUUGUCAUACUCAUCGACAUGCAAGUCGUGAAUCCUAUUACAAGAACAUGAUCAAUCUCAUACAUCACAUAUCAUUCAUCACAUUCUUCUGGCCAUAUCACAUCACAUAGCAUUCCCUGCAAAAACAAGUUAGACGUCCUCUAAUUGUUGUUGCAUGUUUUACGUGGCUGCUAUGGGUUUCUAGCAAGAACGUUUCUUACCUACGCAAAACCACAACGUGAUAUGCCAAUUUCUAUUUACCCUUCAUAAGGACCCUUUUCAUCGAAUCCGUUCCGACUAAAGUGGGAGAGACUGGCACCCGCUAGCCACCUUAUGCACCAAGUGCAUGUCAAUCGGUGGAACCUGUCUCACGUAAGAGUACGUGUAAGGUCGGUCCGGGCCGCUUCAUCCCACAAUACCGUCGAAACAAGAUUGGACUAGUAACGGUAAGCAUAUUGAACAACAUCAACGCCCACAACUACUUUGUGUUCUACUCGUGCAAAGAAUCUACGCAAUAGACCUAGCUCAUGAUGCCACUGUUGGGGAACGUAGCAGAAAUUCAAAAAUUUUCCUACGCGUCACCAAGAUCUAUCUAUGGAGAGACCAGCAACGAGUAGAAGGAGAGUGCAUCUACAUACCCUUGUAGAUCGCUAAGCGGAAGCGUUCAAGUGAACGGGGUUGAUGGAGUCGUACUCGUCGUGAUUCAGAUCACCGAUGAUCAAGUGCCGAACGGACGGCACCUCCGCGUUCAACACACGUACGGGACGGGAGACGUCUCCUCCUUCUUGAUCCAGCAAGGGGGAAGGAGAGGUUGAUGAAGAUCCAGCAGCACGACGGCGUGGUGGUGGAUGCAGGGCGUCACAGCAGCAGGGCUUCGCCAAUACUACGAGGGAGAGACGUAACGGGGAGAGAGGGAGGCGCCAGGGGCUGGUGUAUGGAGGCCCUCCUCUCCCCCACUAUAUAUAGGGGUGCCAAGGGGGGGGCGGCGGCCUAGGGGAGGUUUCCCUCCCCCCCAAGGCACCUAGGGGUGCCUUCCACCACUAGGACUCCUCCUAGGGGGAAACCCUAGGCGCAUGGGCCUAUAGGGGCUGGUGCCCUUGGCCCAUGAUGGCCAAGGCGCACCCCCUACAGCCCAUGUGGCCCCCCGGGACAGGUGGCCCCACCCGGUGGACCCCCGGGACCCUUCCGGUGGUCCCGGUACAAUACCGAUAACCCCGAAACUUGUCCCGGUGCCCGAAAUAGCACUUCCUAUAUAUAAUUCUUUACCUCCGGACCAUUUCGGAACUCCUCGUGAUGUCCGGGAUCUCAUCCGGGACUCCGAACAACAUUCGGGUUUCUGCAUAUACGUAUCUUCAUAACCCUAGCGUCACCGAACCUUAAGUGUGUAGACCCUACGGGUUCGGGAGACAUGUAGACAUGACCGAGACGCUCUCAGUCAAUAACCAGCAGCGGGAUCUGGAUACCCAUGAUGGCUCCCACAUGUUCCACGAUGAUCUCAUCGGAUGAACCACGAUGUCAAGGACUCAAUCGAUCCCGUAUACAAUUCCCUUUGUCUAGCGGUAUUUUACUUGCCCGAGAUUCGAUCGACGGUAUACCGAUACCUUGUUCAAUCUCGUUACCGGCAAGUCACUUUACUCGUUCCGUAACACAUCAUCCCGUGAUCAACUCCUUGGUCACAUUGCGCAUAUGAUGAUGUCCUACCGAGUGGGCCCAGAGAUACCUCUCCGUUUACACGGAGUGACAAAUCCCAGUCUCGAUCCGUGCCAACCCAACAGACACUUUCGGAGAUACCUGUAAUGCACCUUUAUAGCCACCCAGUUACGUUGUGACGUUUGAUACACCCAAAGCACUCCUACGGUAUCCAGGAGUUACACGAUCUCAUGGUCAAAGGAAGAGAUACUUGACAUUGGCAAAGCUCUAGCAAACGAACUACACGAUCUUUGUGCUAUGCUUAGGAUUGGGUCUUGUCCAUCACAUCAUUCUCCUAAUGAUGUGAUCCCGUUAUCAACGACAUCCAAUGUCCAUAGCCAGGAAACCAUGACUAUCUGUUGAUCACAACGAGCUAGUCAACUAGAGGCUUACUAGGGACAUAUUGUGGUCUAUGUAUUCACACGUGUAUUACGAUUUCCGGAUAAUACAGUUAUANNNNNNNNNNNNNNNNNNNNNNNNNNNNNNNNNNNNNNNNNNNNNNNNNNNNNNNNNNNNNNNNNNNNNNNNNNNNNNNNNNNNNNNNNNNNNNNNNNNNNNNNNNNNNNNNNNNNNNNNNNNNNNNNNNNNNNNNNNNNNNNNNNNNNNNNNNNNNNNNNNNNNNNNNNNNNNNNNNNNNNNNNNNNNNNNNNNNNNNNNNNNNNNNNNNNNNNNNNNNNNNNNNNNNNNNNNNNNNNNNNNNNNNNNNNNNNNNNNNNNNNNNNNNNNNNNNNNNNNNNNNNNNNNNNNNNNNNNNNNNNNNNNNNNNNNNNNNNNNNNNNNNNNNNNNNNNNNNNNNNNNNNNNNNNNNNNNNNNNNNNNNNNNNNNNNNNNNNNNNNNNNNNNNNNNNNNNNNNNNNNNNNNNNNNNNNNNNNNNNNNNNNNNNNNNNNNNNNNNNNNNNNNNGGGAGUAGUGGGAGAAAAUACGUCCGGACCGCACCGCGGACCGAUACAGGCGCGUUGGAUGGUUUCCGCGGUUCGGACAGCGCGAUCCAAACGAAUGCGGAAGGUUUGCAGGUCGAUGUUAGAGAUUCCCUUACAAAGGCUCUAAUAUUUAAUUAUGGGGUCAUAUAUGCGUUUACGUAGUGAAAGAUCAUGAACGACAAUUAAACUAGAUGACCCUACUAAUAGGAGUGCUACGGCCAACAACGACCUACUGUAGUUACCUAAGCCACUGCGGGAUGCAUGCAUGCGUGCGCGCACAGAGAGAAGCUAGCGAGCGGCCGAGCAUGCAUGCAGCGAUGCAGCCGGUCAGCAAUUAGCAAAUCUUAGUUAGGGACCAAACGCCAAGAUGUAUGGCGUUUCCUCCAAACGCCAAGGAGCAUGGCGUUUGGCUUUGUCACGUCAACACCAACUAAGCUCAUGCAGGCUAGGUCCAGACGCCAUGGACCAUGGCGUCUUCCGUGUAAGCCAAACGUCAAGGAUGUUGGCGUGACCAAAAAAAGUCAGAUUCGAACUUUUUUAACAAACGAGAUCAAUUCUGAAAUUUGUUAGCACAAAAGUUAAAGCAGAAAUUUUGUCCGAAUUGACAUGGUUGCACAACUUGGUCAUCUGUACGUACUAGUACAUACCUGGAUGAUGCCCCAGCCUGAUCAAGCAAGUCAGCGGCAACAGUAGUUUGAAGUUCUUUUCGGGCGUGCAUGGAAAGAGAGUGGGCUCUUCGCUGAGAUGUCAGUUCUUGUCGGGCCAUUCUGCAGAAUCUCGGUCUGGAGAAGCUGAAGCUGAAAAGAACUCGCCGUUCAACUGCUUACCCCAGAAUUCGCCAGAAUGCCUUUGAGAGCCGGAAUCUCCACUGAGCCCGAGCCCUAACUCGCAUUAUCAUCUCUGCCCGCUCGUGUUCACCCCUCUCUGUUAGGUUUCCCCCCAUCCCACCCAAGGGCGCCGCCGGCUGUCUCCACCCACCCCUCGCCGCCAGCUGUCUGCUCCGACUCCCCCCGCCCCUGGACGCUGGACAUCCAGUCCUCCACGUCCCUGGCCACCAGACCCUGCCUCGCCCGACCCCGACUCUGCCCCGCCCUCGCCGCCAGACGCCGCCGGUGAGCUCAUCUCCCUGUCUCCUCUCUGCUCCUCAUCUCUCCAUCCAUGUGCACAUCAGCCAGUUCCUCUUCGAGCCAUCACAUUGCACGCCGUACUCUAGCAGCUAAAUUAGUACAGUACGUCCAUGGGCCAUUCAUUCAUUAACCGGGCCUAGCGCGUGGCAUAGUACAGCACUAUUGUGGUUUUAGCGUGGAAUAGUGCAGUACAUCCGUGUGCUCUAGUGCUGAUGGAGAUGAUGGAUCAAGGUCAAUGCCGCUGCUAGUGGCAAUUUGUUGAUAAACCUGCUAGUUUCAGUUUGUUGGUAAAUCUGCUAGUGUCAAUUUGUUACAAAUAAUGUGCACCUUUGCUCGUAUCGUUUCAUUUAACGUGUAGUUGUGCUAUUUGGUUGCAGGUGCAUCCUCAAGCUGCUAAGUUUCGGUUUGCUGCAAUGGCAGAGGAGGAGAAAAUGACAGAGGAGUUUGAUGUUGGUUGUGUCACAAAUGAGCAUGCAAGGGUUCCAACUCCCACAUAUCAAGGUGGCCCGGCUCAAGUCGAUUCGGAAGGUGAUUCUGGCUCUGAAUGUGAGCACGUCCAAGUUACACAUCUCCCGAAUCGUGUAAAGAGCAGGAAGAAGAGGGCAUGUCCUUAUUCGCGUAUGGUGGCAAGUGAGAUUGCUAAAAACAAGGCACUUGUGCGCAUGGUGGAAAUUUUUGAGGCAAGGGAAAAGAGAGUGACAAAUCAAUGUGCAAAAGAGAUUGUGGAUCCAACAAGACAGGAGAUUCACGACAUGAUGGCCAUGGUGAUUGCAGACGGAGCCAAACCUGGGAGUGAUGAGCAUUUCUAUGCUUCACAUCUUUUGUUGGAAAAGAAGAAUCGUGAUGUUUUUACCUCGUUUAAGGGUCACAAACCUAGUGAGAGGCUUGCAUGGAUAAGGAGGAUGUGGGAGCUCAACAGUAAGUAGAAUCUCUAUGCUUUAAAUGCUUUGAACCAAACUAUUUGCUUUCAACUUGUACCGUUAUGAACUACUCCCUCCGUCCCAAAAUAAGUGACUCAAAAGUGACUCAACUUUAUACUAAAGUUAGUACAAAGUUGAGUCAUUUUUGAGUCACUUAUUUUGGGACGGAGGGAGUAUGUUAUUUGAUUCGAACAUCUCUUUGUUGCUCGUAUUCAAGGCAAACCGGUUUGAAACAACUAUGUGUUGGCAGUUCAACAUACAACUUUAGUGCAGGGGAUUAUAGAUAUUGUAGCGCACAACCCGUACAAUAAUCUUAGACUACAAUUUCCGAAAAGAACUACAUGGUUGAUUCUGCACAAAGCUGGUUCUGUGGGCAAUUUUUCAUAAUCUAACUUUGGAGAAUAUGGAGGGUUCACACAACACUCCAGAUUAGCAAGGGGGAGAAGGGUGGUUGAGUGGUUGAGUGGACCAACAUGUCGUUUAUAGUGUCAGCCAGAAUUUUAGGCUGCUAGAUCUUCAUCCAACGUUUGGGAUCGCGUGGCAAAUGUUCUUCUUCAACCUCUAUUUUCUUCCUCCCCGCGUGGUUUUCCCUCUCCCAUGUCGUCCCCCAGCCCCAUCCGCCGACUUAUGCCCAUGCGUGCUGCCUUGCCCUCCCCACACGGUCGUGCUUCCCCGCGGCCCAAGGCCAUCCCUCUCAGGGCUCCCCCUGACCUCCUGUUUCAGCGUUGACAACCCCCACACCUGCCAACCUGCUUCCUCCCCUCAAGACGCCACAGCUUACUACCGCACACGAACGUCGUCUCCGUCCCCCGCGAGGUCCUAGUUCGGCCUCGCGGGGGUUGACACUGGUCGCUGUGCUCCUCAUGGCCCCCAUCUUCUGCUUCGGUGGAAUCAACUAGCUCUUGUGAAAUUUGCAGUUACCUGAUGUUUAGCAAACCCAUUAAUUAUAAGAUUGGAUACGUUGGCCAUGGUGGUGCUUUCAAUGGGGAUGCCAUGACAUCUCAACAGCAUCUUGUCCAUGCUAUCGGGGUGCCAUGAAAGCACAAGCCAUGGGAGACAUAUAAUUCGAAUCAUAGGUUAGACCAGGUAGUGAUGGUCAUGCACAGAGAUGAGUGUUAGAAAUACUACUUUAAGAUUAUUGUAAUAGGAUCAUUUGCCUAGCAUUAAAUCACCCACAUAUGAUUAACAGAGAGGUUCGUGAGAUCUUACAGGCUUUCUCGUUGCAGGCACAACAUAGCCCAUGAACUCCAGUGGCGAGGAUGAGCAACAGCAGUGGUGCCGCAGUGAUGUAGUCGUGGAGAGGCAGCAACUCAUCCAGGAGCUUCGCCGGUGGCAGCAGGAAGCCGCCGACACAGCCUUGCGGCGGCCAGAGGUGGAAACGGCCUUCUGAUCCCCUUAGCUCCCCUUUUUUAGGAUCGAUAGUUGAGGUCAUGGUAAAACUUACCUGUACGUGAUGGAUCACACAUACAGGAGAGGAAGUACCUCUCUUUUAUACGUGGGGCUAGGGAACAGGGACCGAAACCAAUAGGUUGUUUGCACCCUGGAUCACAGUGUGUGCGUGAGAGCGGUAUGGUGGGCCACACCCCAACUUUUCUCUCGAUUGUUAGACGAGAUCAAUUCCAACAAUGAGUACCCAUGAAGUGAAAGGUUCUCACGUCAGUUCCUUUCCUCGAAACUGGAAGGAAGCACUCCUCAUCUAAUAAAACAAGAACAUCAAUAAAGGAGGAUCAUAUGAAUUCACUUGAUAUCACAGUUGGCGCAAGAUGCCUCCCUAACUUGCUAAUCGUUCUGAUUUCCUGUGGUGGAGCUCCUAGUCAAGGUUCGUGUUAUCCGGCGAUCUCUUGGCUUGCAUUGACCCAAUAUCUCGCCCCUUCUAUCGGAGCAUGCAGUCAUGCUAUGACACUCAUUGAUUGCGGAUUCUCCUGUAUCACGUUGUGGGGAUCGAAACAGACGGGUGCUCUCGGUAGCUCACAAAGUAUUGGUAUUGUGAUACCCACGGAUGACACCCCACAUCUACUUGUGCCUCUUGUGGUGGUGGUGCCAUAGACUGCUGGCUGGGAUGAGCCUCGUCAUGGGCACCCAACUUUAUCAUCUUUCUUUCCCCCUUGUUACUUGUAUGUUUUUUGCCCGAUUCUUUUACAAAAGAAGUCAUUUUUUUCAGUUUUCGAUCUGGUUUCCCUUAUAAAAUGAAUCAGUCUCUUGGCAUAAAUGCCCAAUUUGAGUAAUAUAUUCGGGUUGGGGAACUCCUCCCUCCCCUGAUUUCUCAAAAAAGUUCGCUUGAUAUUGAAAUUAUCAACAUACAAUGAUGAGACUGGUCAACAAAAUAAUACCAUCAAGUUCAAAGAAUAUAUUUGGUUGAAGAAGAACCGGAACAACAUACAAAUCAGCACUAAGUCUUAGCGCGACUUGCAUUUGCUGCCACAUGAACGAACAUAAACACUCCAUGAGAUAGACCAUACAAAGAAGGAGAUUUGCCUUAGCCACCAUUCGCAUCAAAUUUGUAAAGUAGUUUGGUUAUUUGCAGUGUUUUAGCCUUUAAUCACCACCGAUGGGUACAUGCGUGCAACUUUUUGCAGAGUUCAUGCUCCACCCACCUGACCUCCCAUUCCUUUUCAAUUCAUCUCCAAAUUAGAAUAUAGUAUAUCUUUUGAACUGAAAGUCUAAACCAUGAUUCGUUUGCAUAUUCAUGUUUGUUGCAACGAGUACCUUCGAACAAGACCAAUUUCGAAAAUUUUGAGAACCUUUAAACUUUUACCAAAUUUCAAAUAUUAAAACUUGAUAGUUGCAAGUUGCAAUAUCAAGUUUUUACUAAGUUUCACUAACUUUUACCAAGUUUUAUUCGCUUUUAGGGUUUAGGGUUUGGGGCUUAGGGCUUUGGGCUUGGGCUUUGGGUUUAGGGGCUUAGAGCUUAGGGUUUAGGGUUUUAGUUUUACAUUUCGAAACAUGGUUGAUUUAUCGUCAUUCCUAUAACGUUGGCACAAGUGUGUUAUCCCUUUUGAAGGCGUUUGCCGCAAGAUGGCGACUUAGUUGCAUGUGUCUUUUUGUUAGAUCUUGUGUCUUUGUUGGCCUUUAUGCACUUUGUUAUAAGGUAUUUUGGUCUCGUUGCCUUGCUUUUAUUUAAUAAGAUAAUGGCCGUGUGCAUACUAUGAUGCGAAGGUCAGUUGGUAUAACCUUCCCUUCAGAAGGGAACAAAAUCAUGUUAUUUUUUCUUUGAUAUACAAUUACACUGGAUUUCAUAGAAACUUUUUCAUCCGUUGUAAUUCUCUGAAGGGAAAAAAAUGCUUUCUUUGUACUACAUAAUCAAAUAUCGAAGAUGAUGUGACACUCUAAUCCUGCAUCCCCGAAUCAUGCAAAUCAAAUAGACCCUGAUUGAUGUACACAUUAGUAGUACAUGAUAGCUCUGAAUGCAUGGGCCCAAAUGGCUAAGCAAUCUUAUUGCAACCAAUGGUGUAGGUAGUGGCUAUGCAUCUCAUAGCGAGCUGCCAUUGGUGCAAGCAGGGUCUGGAGCCAUCAAGAAGUCCAGCAUGAUCUUGUUGAACCGAGCCGGGUCCUCGAGCUGUGGAGCAUGGCCCGUUUUCUUGAUGAUCUCCACUCUGGCUUUCCCAUCCAAAGAGCUGAAACCAAAGCGGAAAGAUCAGUACGUGACCAAUAUCUCAACGGAGACCGCCUGAUCAUAGAGGAAAUUAAGCACUCCUAUAGUACACGCGGUAAAAAAUGGUCCGUGUAGUAAAUGAUUUACACAUUUAUACGAGUACCUCUGGAUUCCAGAGGCCUUUUCGACGGGGAACAACUGAUCAUGCUCUCCCCAGACAAUCAACACUUCCUGCAUAUACAACGUCCCAAAAAGGUUAGGUGAGACAGAGUGUCUCAGUAAAUGCGGUAUUAGGUGAACAUACACACACGAAAAUACCUGAGACAAUGGUGUGACUUGAAACUUGUCGGUGCCGACGGUGAUCCCCUUGAAAAGAUGGGUGAGCUGCUCCCUGUUGUCCAUGAACAGUUUCUGACAGGAGGCAACAAGAUCAUCUGGUUCAGUGCUAUUCCUGUUCCUUAUCUCAGACCAACUCCACCACACGACCCUAUCCUGUCCGCCCCCGUCCGUUUGAGGUAAAAGGGGCAAAUAAGACGGCCCAACGCGCGACGGCCCGGACCCAUUUUGUCCGUUUUGUGUCCGGCCGACCCAUUUCGAGCGCAAACUUGCGCCAGUUUUGGGUCGCGGCGGACACCAAACGGACGCGCGCCUCGUCCGCGUCGGGGCCGCGUGGCAGGCGGCCACCUACCUCCCACCCGCCCACAUCAAUGCGCACGGGCGGGCGGCCCCACCUGUCAUCCGCACGUUGAAGGGUCGCCGUCCUUCUUUAAGUGGAAACCGUGGACCGGUCGUCGUCCACACUGCCGCAGGCCACCCCGCGGCCUCCUCGAAACCCGACAGCCCCAUGCCCAAACCCUAGCCAAGAACUCGCCGGCCGGCCGCCCGCAGCCAUGGGGCUCUGGAACUACGGCCGCAAAGGCAAGUACGACCGCGAGGCUGGCUCCUCGUCGGGGCGUCGCCGCGGCUCGGUGAAGAAGGAGGAGCCGGCCUCGCCAUCGCCACCACGCCGGGCCCCCUCGCCACCCGCGUUCUCCAUCGCCCCCGCGUCCGCCGGCGAGCGCGACCGGCACUACAUCCGCGCGUCGGUGUGCCGCCGUUAUUGGAAGACGAGGAUGCCGAUCCCCUGGAGCGACGCCCACCUCCCCAACAACUGGCACCUGUCAGCCGACCGCGUGCCGAUCCUGCCGGUCCCGGCGACCGGCCGUGCGCGCCGCGAGGAGAUCGAGCGCCGCCGCCGCCUCCUUCCGGACGACCUCUACUACGACCCCAGGUACGCCCCCGACUCGCCAUUGUGGGACACUUGGUUCCACGAUGAGCAUGACACGCGGCGGGCGUCCUUCUUCGCCGGCACGUCGACGGGGCCACGCCCAGAGCACUGAGCGGCUGCUCCCCAGGAGCGCGGGCGUAGGCUGGUGCGUGGCCUCACGCCCACGCCUUCGCCGUCGCCAUCUCCAUCGCCACCACCACCUCCUCGCAUGACGGCGGAGGAGGAGGCCUGUCUCGUGCAGCGUGUCAUGGAGGACUCCAUGAACACGCACGACGAGCGGCAAAUGGGACGGCUUGGAGGAGGCCAUGGCACUCUCUGCCGCCGGCGACGUGGCCUUCCCGGAGCUGCAGAUGGCGGCCUUGACGGAGGAGAGGAGGGAGGACGCGAUGGAGGAGGAGUCGUCGGCCGCGUUCCAACAGCUAAUGGGCCAGGGGUGGGCCUGGUCCUGCACUGCUCCGGAGAUGGCCGUCGGUGUGGGCGUGAACUGGCGCGCCACUCCGCCGCGGUCACCGGAGCGGGAGGCGUCGCCACGGGAGGAGGUGGUGCAGGCACCUCCCUCCGUCCAGCCCGCCCCCUUCUACCACGCACCGCCGGCCCACCUGUGGACGCCGCCGGACUACGUCGACCUCGUCAGUGACGACGACGACACCGGCGGCCGCUGAAGACGUCCACGGCGACGGUAUCGACGGGCACGGGCAGGAGCGCGCCGGCGGCGACCGUUUUUUUANNNNNNNNNNNNNNNNNNNNNNNNNNNNNNNNNNNNNNNNNNNNNNNNNNNNNNNNNNNNNNNNNNNNNNNNNNNNNNNNNNNNNNNNNNNNNNNNNNNNNNNNNNNNNNNNNNNNNNNNNNNNNNNNNNNNNNNNNNNNNNNNNNNNNNNNNNNNNNNNNNNNNNNNNNNNNNNNNNNNNNNNNNNNNNNNNNNNNNNNNNNNNNNNNNNNNNNNNNNNNNNNNNNNNNNNNNNNNNNNNNNNNNNNNNNNNNNNNNNNNNNNNNNNNNNNNNNNNNNNNNNNNNNNNNNNNNNNNNNNNNNNNNNNNNNNNNNNNNNNNNNNNNNNNNNNNUAUUGCUUUUCUGAGACGGACGUGAUUUGGGGUGCGGCCGCGCGGUGGGCGCACGCACAACCCAACAGACACAGCCGGACACGGGCGAACCCAUCGGCGCCCCAAAGGGACAAAAUCCGGCCAAUCCGGACGUCCGUUUGGGGUCGUGCGGUGGAGUUGGCCUCAUGUCCCCGAAGGGUACUACUCUUGGUUACAUCUACCGGCUCUACUGCCAUCUUUCGGGGGGCAAACCUCCUUUUCCAAAAAAAAAAAAAUCUACCGGCUCUACUGCCAUCUUUUAAGACCGAAAACACAGCUGAAAAAUAUAGGUGAAGUGGUGAAGUCCAAGGAUUCCGUAUUUUUCGAGGGAAGGGAGAAGGCAAGAGCACGAACGCUGUUGCAUCGGCGUUACUGCAGUGCGCUUGCGUUGUCUGUUUCGAUCGGACGUAUAAAUGCUUACGAAAUCUGGCAACAAGGAAGUAAAUGUUCACAUUACCACUAGUAGAUUUGAUUGUUAGGCGGGCAGGAGGUGUCGCCUAGGCCUAGUACAGCGUUGUGCUUGGAAGUUCUGGUGUCAGUUGAAGCCUCACAAGUCACAACACAAUGUUCUUCUGGUUUCCAAGUUGAAGCGUGCUUCUGGUUUCCCAGGUUUUGCUUUUGUCCCGGCAAGAUGUGAAACAUAAAAUUAAAAAAAAAAACGAUGCACUGCUGACUGCCGCAUCUAUACUAGUAGUUUUUUUUUUCGUGAUGGCACCUAUAGUGUGUGCGGCAGGAUGAUAGGCUGACCUUGUUGACUGGCUUUUGCUUGCAAAUAACAUUCGAGACUUUCACUAAAAAGAAAGUCACAAGUGGCAUCUGUACACGCACGCACCUGGAUGAAGUCCCGGAGGACGAAGUCCGGCGUCAUCAUGGCCGGCGGGGGGCGGUACACGGCCAUCUCCAUCAGCCUCCUCAUGGCGGCGGGCUCGGCCGGCAGGAGCAGCUCGUGCGCGCCGCUCCACCCUUCGCCGGCCCUCUUCAGGAAGGCGCGGUCGUCGGCCGCCGUCUUGAGCAGGUCGGAGCUCGCGAUCACCACGGGGCCCACCCUCCGGGGCCCCGCCGCGCGCGCCAGCCAGUAGGCCACGAACCCGCCGUAGCUCGUGCCCGCCACGGCCACCCGCUUGCCCUUCAGCCCCUCCACCGAGUCCAGCAGCGCCGCGAGCGCCGCGGCCUGCGUGGCCUCGGACGGCGGCGGCGCCGAGGGCGAGUCCCAGGAGCUGCCGCCGAAGCCGAGCAGGUCCGGGACGAUGACGUGGAACUGGCGGGACAGCGGCCCCACCUGGCAGCGCCACUGCCAGGUGGCCCGAGGGCCGAAGCCGUGAAUGAGCAGCAGUGGCGGCAGCCGCGGCUCCCCCGCCGGCGCCCAGUAGUGCAUGGUGCAGGUGCCCGACGAGCCGCCGUCGGGGUAGGGGAGCGUGACCGAGUGGGGGCGGAGGCCGGCGGCGAGGAACUCGCGCCGGGCGAAGUAGUCGAUGAGCGGCACGACGCUGAGGCUGGCCCCCAUGGUGGCUCUAAGCGCCCCUGGCCGAUCAGGCAGAGCAGCAGCACGGCCGCUGAUGCCGCGUCAAGUUCUUGGUGUGCAGCUGUGCAUGGAAAGAGAGUGAGAACGCCACUGAUGUAUAGCGAUGUGCUGGUGGAGCUUAGCUUAAAGGUAGGGGUUCGUUCUGGUGGGAGAAAGGGAGGGUUCACAGCAUCCCGGGAUUGCAAGGGAAGAAGGCCGGUGGUUGAGUGGACCUUGAUUAUACCAUCCGAAUAGUCGGCUAUGGUGGCGCUUUCAAUUGGGCCUCGAUGACAUCUCAGCACUCAGCAGCAUCUACACUCGCCAAACCGCCAUGCUGUGUGAUAGAGGACUAUGUCCCUGUUAAACAGAUACAAGUUGAGCUAGAUUAGGCAAUGAUAUGCAGACGAGAAAUGUAGCCGUCAAGUGGAAGAUUCCGGAUUCGUUUCUUUGGACCGGAAGGAAGCACUGCACUGCACUCGGCAAAAGAAGAAGAAGAAGAACAAUAAAAGGUUGUUUGCGUUCGCGUGCAAUACAAACUGUGAAGUUAUGUAUGCAUCAAGUGGGCAGAUUGCAACAAAAUAACCCCAAAAUCAGCAUCAAAGUAUAUUUGGUGUAGGCAAGAACCACCCAACGAUUAAGAAGAUGCGGCCUGAAGCUUGACGCGACGUGCACUUGCAGCCACGGGAAAGAACAGAAAACAGUCUGUGAGGCAGGCCAGCAGGCAACCACACAGAAACAAAACAACUUUACGUAGUAGUACUCUUGUUCCAGCUAGGACAUGGCGUGGCGUAGACGCACUCAUGAACAAGCUUGCAAAGUCGCUGUUGCAUGCAAACUGUUAGACUGUAUAGUCUCUGUAGUUGUAUACGUACAUAUACGUAUGAUGUAACUUGUAUCCGUUUGUUAUAUAUAUGUGAGAUAGGCCACCCCUAGAGGGUUGAGCCGGUUCCCCCAACUCUAUUGUCUUACAUGGUAUCACGCUAGGUCAACACGCUUCCGCUCAAACCCUAAACCCCGCCGCCGUUUGUCUGUGCGCCGCUGCCGCCGUCCCUGAGAUCGCGCCGCCGCUGCCCCAGCUAUGUCGGGCUCUGCCGCCUCCGGCUCCCCCAUGGCUAGCUUCUUGCCGGCCUCUCUCGCGGCCCUCCUGUCCCGACCCAUCGACGCCGCUGCGGUCUCCACCGCCCCGAUCGAGACGAGGAGCCUCGGGUCCUUUUUCUCCUCGUCUCCGGGGCUCCCGAUCGUGCCGUCUACCGCGGGCGCUCCCUCGUCCGAGACUCGCAGCGACGCGCCGCUCGCCCCGAGUGGGGGCCAGCCGCCGAUCGCCCCGUCUCCCUCGCCCGCUUCCCGCAGCGACGCCCCGCUCGCCCCGCCUGGGGGCCAGCCGCCGAUCGCCUCGACUGGUGGGGGCUCGGCCCUCACCCUGGUGGCGCCCCCGUCGGCCAUGAUGGCGGGGUUUGCUGCUGCGGGCUCGGCCUCUUCGUCAUCUGUUCCUGCAGUCGCGACGGUGGCUGCAACCGCGGCCUCUGCCUCUACGGUGUAUCCGCCUCCGGCAGUCUACUCCGCGGGCUCCUCGCCGCCGCCGCCGUUUCACUUUGGGAACCUCAUCACCAUCAAGCUGUCCGCAGACAACUACAUCUUCUGGCGUGCGCAGGUUCUUCCGCUUCUCGGGAGUCAUUAUCUCCUGGGCUACGUCGACGGUUCUCUCCCCUGUCCCCCUGCGCUGGUGGAUAGCGUGCACGGCCCGGUCUACAAUCCGGCGCACCGUGUUUGGACAGGGCAGGACCAGGCGAACCUCUCCUCCAUCCAGGGGUCGCUCACUCCGGCGGUUGCCGGACUUGUUGUCUUCGCCAAGACUUCUCAUGAGGCAUGGACCAUCCUCGAGCGCUCGUUUGCAGCGCAGUCGCAGGCCCGUGUCUCCGCGCUUCGUCGCCAGCUUGGUGAGUGUCAAAAGCUGGAUUCUACGGCCACCGAGUUCUACAACAAGGUCAAGGGCCUUGCCGACACGUUGGCCUCCAUCGGCCAGCCCCUCACUGAUUCCGAGUUUAACUCGUUCAUUGUCAAUGCUCUCGAUGAGGAGUACGACGCCUUGGUCGAGAUCAUGAACGAGCGGGGCAACUCGAACCCCAUGAUGGCGCAUGAGGUCUUUUCCCGCCUCCUUCUCACGGAACAGCGGGUCGAGUCGCGCCGCUCCAGGGCCAGUGGGGGCUCCCUCUCGGCCAACGCCGCCACCAAGGGUGGCCGCCCUUCUUCCUCAUCCAGGGCCUCUUCGGGGCUGCCAUCGCCGCCUGCAUCGGCCCCCCCUCCUACCGCGACAUUACCGGGGGUUGGUGGCAAGCGCGUAUGUCAGCUGUGUGGCAUUGAGGGGCACUGGUCCUCUAAGUGCCACAAGCGCUUUCAGAAGAGCUUUCUGGGUCUUGGCAAUGAUGGCAAGGACACGCGCAAUUUUGCGCGUCAGGUGGCCAUGGCGGAUCGCCCAGUGUCCACUAAGCAGCAGGGGCAUACUCAGUCCUACUCUGUUGAUCCUCACUGGUACAUGGACUCUGGGGCCACGGAGCAUCUGACGAGUGAGAUGGGCAAGCUCCAUACUCGUGAACCCUACCACGGCUCCGACAAAAUCCACACUGCCAAUGGAGCAGGUAUGCAUAUAUCUCAUAUUGGUCAAGCAUCUCUUCUCACUAGGCAUGCAAAUAGGAGUCUUCAACUUCGCAAUGUGCUUAGAGUUCCCUCUGUGACACGUAAUCUUCUUUCUGUUCCUAAACUUACACGUGAUAAUAAUGUGCUUUGUGAAUUUCAUCCUUUUGAUCUUUUUAUUAAGGAUCGGGGCACGAGGGACAUUCUUCUUAGCGGGCGGUUGUGCCAGGGACUCUAUCGUCUGGAGCAUCCUGCAGUCGCUCGCGUGUUCAGUGGAGUUCGGGUAUCUCCGUCACAGUGGCAUGCUCGUCUUGGUCACCCGGCCACACCUAUCGUUCGUCAUGUUUUGCGUCGUCAUGAGCUUCCUAGUGUGUCCAGUAAUAGAGAUGUAGCAGUGUGUGAUGCUUGUCAGCAGGGGAAGAGUCAUCAACUUCCUUUUUCAGAGUCUAGUCAUGAGGUGAAACAUCCUUUAGAACUUGUAUUUUCAGAUGUAUGGGGUCCUGCUCAGACUUCUGUCAGCGGUCAUAAUUAUUAUAUCAGUUUCGUUGAUGCUUAUAGUCGUUUUACCUGGCUUUAUCUUAUUAAACGCAAAUCUGAUGUGUUUGAUAUUGUUGUUCAGUUUCAAAAACAUGUUGAACGUCUUCUCAAGCACAAAAUUGUUCAUGUUCAAUCCGAUUGGGGGGGCGAAUAUCGCAACCUCGACUCCUUCUUUCAGUCGCUUGGGAUAGCUCAUCGUUUAGCAUGUCCACAUACACAUCAACAGAAUGGUUCUGUCGAACGUAAGCAUCGUCACAUUGUUGAAACUGGUCUUACUCUUUUGGCCCAUGCAUCAGUUCCGUUUCGAUUCUGGAGUGAUGCUCUCACCACUGCAUGUUUUCUCAUAAACCGUACUCCCACUCGUGUCUUGAAUAUGAAGACUCCCGUUGAGGUUCUCCUUAAUGAAUAACCUGAUUAUACAUUUUUUAAGGUCUUUGGGUGCGCUUGCUGGCCACAUCUCCGCCCAUACAACAAGCGCAAGCUUGAGUUUCGCUCCAAAAAGUGUGUUUUUCUAGGCUAUAGCUCUCUUCAUAAAGGGUACAAAUGUCUUCAUGUUCCCACCAAUCGUGUCUACAUAUCCCGGGAUGUCGUGUUUGAUGAGCAUGUUUUUCCAUUUGCCAAGCUUCCUGUGUCCACUGUUGAACCACCCUCCUUGCAUUCAUCCUCUGUUGCUGCUGACCAAUUGGAUGAUAUUGCAUACUCUCCUAUAUUGUUGCCUAACCAUGGUGCAGGCACUGGACGUGGGGCGCUUGGAAAUUCUGGAGGCGCCAGUGGCUCACGACGAUCAUGGUGAGUUGCAUGGCCUCGGCCCCCAUGCCCAUGCACGUCCGGUCGAUCUUCCCGCGACGCAUGCUUCUACGCCCAUGGACUCUGGGUCGGCCUCGCCGCUUCGGCCUGUCGCGACUACCGCACCAGAGGAGUCUGGGUCGGUCUCGCCUAGGCUGGUUUCCUCGCCAUGCAGACCGGUGGCCCCGUCGGCCUCGACACACCCGGCUCCUGAGCCGGCCUCGGUGCCAUGCAGCCCGGUGGCCCCGUCGGCCUCGGCGCCCCUGGCCUCGCUGCGUUGCUCGCCGCCCUCGGUGCCUCUGGCUUCUGAGCCAGCCUCGCCACCUUGCUCGGUCACGCCGGCCUUGUCGCUUCCUCGGCCUUCCUCGCUGGUUACGCCUGGGCCAAGCUCACCGGUCUCCGAUGUGCCCUCACCGGCGCUCUCCGAGGUCUCUCCGUCGUCAGCCGAGCUGUCCUCGCCAUCGUCGCCAUCAUCACCAGAGUCCUCUCCGGCUCCUGUACCUACUGUGCUCCCUCAGCGACCACAUACACGGAGUCGCAGUGGCAUCGUUCAGCCUAAACAGCGACAUGAUGGGACUGUUGCUUGGUUGGCUGCCUGUAUGGCUGCUACUCGUGCGGAUCCUUCCUCUGAACCGCGCACGUAUCAGGCUGCUUUGAGUCUACCUCAUUGGCGAGAGGCUAUGGAGCAGGAGUAUCAUGCUCUCCUUCGUAACAAGACAUGGACUCUUGUUCCGCCACCACCCCGUGUUAAUGUCAUUGACUCCAAAUGGGUUUUCAAAGUGAAGAAGCAUUCAGAUGGUUCUAUUGAGCGCUACAAGGCGCGGCUGGUUGCUCGAGGUUUUCGGCAGCAUUAUGGUCUUGAUUAUGAAGACACCUUCAGCCAGUGGUUAAACCUACUACUAUCAGGCUUCUUCUCUCUCUUGCAGUUACUCGGGGUUGGUCUCUUCAUCAGCUGGAUGUGCAGAAUGCUUUUCUCCAUGGUGUUCUUGAAGAGGAGGUAUAUAUGCGGCAGCCUCCAGGGUUCUCUGAUCCCGAUCGUCCUGAUUAUCUAUGUCGGCUUACUAAAGCACUCUAUGGUCUGAAGCAAGCUCCUCGUGCUUGGCAUGCUCGUCUUGCGACGGCCCUUCGUGCUCAUGGUUUUGCAUCCUCAGCUGCUGACUCCUCGUUGUUUCUUCUUCAGAGGCCUGCAGUUACCAUGUAUCUGCUUGUUUAUGUGGAUGAUAUUAUCCUUGUCAGUUCCUCUCAGUCGGCUGCUGAUGCUCUUGUUUGGUCUCUUGGUGCUGAUUUUGCGGUCAAAGAUCUUGGGCGGCUUCACUACUUUCUUGGAGUUGAGGUUGCUUCUGUGUCCAGUGGUCUGAUUAUGACGCAAAAGAAGUACUCCUUGGAUUUGUUACAGCGAGCUGCGAUGCUUAAGUGCAAACCGACUACUACACCUAUGUCUGCUACUGACAGGAUUACUGCUGUUGCUGGUGAUCUCCUGUCUUCUGCUGAUGCGACAUAGUACAGGAGUAUUGUUGGUGGUUUGCAGUACCUGACUAUCACACGUCUUGACAUCUCUUUUGCAGUUAACAGAGUAUGUCAGUAUCUUCAGGCACCUCGUGAUACUCAUUGGUCUGCAGUGAAGCGCAUCUUGCGCUACAUUCGUUUCACGUUGUCCUAUGGUUUGCACAUUCGACCGAAUCCCUCUGGGGUCAUCUCGGCGUAUUCUGAUGCGGAUUGGGCUGGCAGUCCAGAUGACAGGCGAUCCACGGGGGGCUAUGCUGUGUUCUUUGGUUCUACCUUGAUCGCCUGGAGUGCUCGGAAACAGGCUACUGUUUCACGUAGCAGUACUGAAGCUGAGUAUAAGGCUGUGGCUAAUGCAACUGCAGAAAUUAUCUGGAUACAGUCUUUGCUUCAGGAGUUGGGAAUAUCUCAGUCACAGUCUCCUAUUCUUUGGUGUGAUAACAUCGGUGCUACAUACCUAUCUGCUAAUCCGGUAUUCCAUGCCCGAACGAAACACAUUGAAGUGGACUAUCAUUUUGUACGGGAACGGGUAUCUCAGAAGCAACUACAGAUCAAGUUUAUCUCUUCCAAGGAUCAACUUGCGGACAUCUUCACCAAGCCAUUACCUCUUCCACAGUUUGAGACUUGUAGGCGCAAUCUUACCCUUCUAGAUUCUUUAGGAAGUGGCUAAGAUUGAGGGAGGGUGUUAGACUGUAUAGUCUCUGUAGUUGUAUACGUACAUAUACGUAUGAUGUAACUUGUACCCGUUUGUUAUAUAUAUGUGAGAUAGGCCACCCUAGAGGGUUGAGCCGGUUCCCCCAACUCUAUUGUCUUACACAAACCCACCCAAAUUCUAGCCCAUCAUCAAUAUUCAUUUCAAAAGUGUUUAAGAAACGUUUACUAUGCUUAUGACCAGUGAAGUGAACACCCUCUAAAAUGCAGUAGAAACACGGUGAAGCAGUAAACACACGGCGUAAAACGUGUAAACUCGCACUUGUUAACGAAAAUAUACAACAAAGUUCAGAGCCACCAUUCCACCCCAUUUUGAAUGGCCGGAGGCAUUCAGAUCACACCCUAUCUCUCUCCUUUUUUUCAAUAUUUUGAGCAGACAUUUAGACCAUAGUAGCUCUUCCUCUUUUUUACACAUUACAUUACAUGAUUAUACAUACCUAAAAGGAUUACAAUGUAGUGCACCAUUUGGGCCUCUGGGAUAACUCUGUGUAUGUUUUCCAGAGAGUACCGAUGCUCUGAGCAGGCUUCAGUUUCAGGUUGUGCCGAAUUCUGGCUCAUCCCGUUCAUCUAGGAAGAACGACUUGAUGAAACUGUUGACCUUGUCGGCCCCCUCCAACUGCAACGCGUGCCCUGCGUCCUUGAUGAUCUCUAGCCUGGAUUUCUUGCCUAGAUGCCUGCACUCGCCAACAGAAAACACAUACCGAUUCUUAUACAUCUUGUUGAAAUGAAAAGCAAUGUCGUCAGUAUAUAGAAUUCAUGGAACACUGUCCUGUUCUUUUUACCUGUGCAGUUUGUAGCCAAGAUCGACGGGGAACACCUGGUCCUUGUCUCCCCACAGAACCAGCGUUUUCUGCAGAGCACAAAUCGAACCACACAUGUUAUUUCUCAGAAAAAAAACAUCCAAAGGAAAGUGAUGAUGGAUCAAUGUUGCUUGGAAUGUGCGGCUGGCUGACCUGAGUGAGAGCCGGGAGGGGGUCGAUGCCGGCUCCGCUCCUGAGUAGUUCUUGCAGCAGCUCUGUUCUCUCCUUUCUCUGGUCCACGAACAUCAGCUGCAGCAAACACAGGGCAUACACUUCAGAAAUGGUGUAAAGUUCACCAAAUUAAUAUACAUGAUGAUGUGUUCUUUUUUUAUGGCGGGGACAUGAUGCUCUGUUAUUAGUUACCUCUUUCUACAUUUCCAUGCAAAGUUGGAGUCUGUACUGAAAUUUACGAGCAUGCUUUAAGAGAACUGAACUAAGAACAUUUCUGAAGUCUGCUCACCGACUUGUUUACGAGCACGUAUCUUAUGCAUGGGCAACCAAAUAGGCAAAAAAUCUGAUGUCGCAGGGUAAUUAAGAGGAGAGGGAGGAGUUUGAUGACCCUAGAAAGAAACGAUGCUAGGGACAUGUAUCUAGGCAAAAACAAAAUUUACAGUCUACGGCUAGCUAAUUAAAUGAAGGAAGCCCCAUGCAAAAUUAUUGGCAUAUGACUUGAUCGGACAGUGGCCAAUGGAAAAUGAUGCUAGCAUCCCAAGCUAGCGCCAGAAGACUGAAUUUGAGCGCUUGGGCCAGGCAAACAUCCAUGCCUAGUGCUUCAGCCAGGCUAAUGACCAUAAAAUGCUCCACGCCAGGCUUAUUCAGGGCAUCAACCAAACAACCUCCAGGCUAGGGAAGGUCCAGGCCAUACAAAUCUUUGCCAGGCUUCCAACCAAACAAUCCCUCUUAUCUUUGAGGCUUAAUUGGUUAGUUAAAUGUACGACGUCUAUAUCAAAAUCAUGAUUCCUUAAAAAUGUCAAUCAAUUUUUAAAAAUCAUGAUUCAAAAAGAUUAAUUCCCAAAAAUGUCCUUGGCUUUGAAAAAAUGUUCAGGAAUCUUUAAAAAAUCAAGAAAUAAAAAAUAUUCAUGAAGCUCAAAAGGUGUUCGUGGAUUUAAAAUUGUUCAUGAAUUUUUAAAAAUUAAUGAGUAAUAAAAUGUUCAGCAUAUAUUCGAAAAUUGUUCCAUAUGUGUUAAAAAAGUUCAACGUAUAAUUAAAAAAAUUAACGUCCAUUUAAAAAAUCAUGAAUAAACUAUUAUACUUAGAAAAAAUGAUUGUAAAAAGCUAAACAGGCUUCCGAAAACCUCUUUUUUUAGUGGUAAACCUUGUUUAUUAAUCAAGUACAAGGUUUACACACAAUUGGGUCAUGGGGUACUUCACUAACGCCAGUACCAACUUGGCUACUCCCUCCGUCUCGGUUUAUAGGGCGUGCACGUAGUUCUAGGUCAUCCAUUUGACUAACUAAAUAGUAUGAGUUAUAUGUCAAGUAUAAACUUCUUUUUAGCAACGUAGUUCUUGGCAAGUAUAAAAGUUGCUAAAAAGAGCCACACAACGUAGUUCUUGGUCAAGUAUAAACUUAUUAAUCAAGUAUAAACUUCUUUUUAGCAACUUUUGAUAUUGCCAAGUAUUGGCAGUGCCAAAUGUUGGUAUCAAACCAAUUAGCCUCCUAAUCCCCAAGUACAACAGGAUCAAUGUGGCAUUUUCCUUUUUUUUGGGAGAAUCGUAAUCAAGUCGGGGAUACAUUAUUGGCGGCACUGUCAGCCACGCCCGGCGACCGACCCACAUCGUUGGGGCAUUUUCCUAGCGCAGAUUUGAUCUGCGGCGGUGGACGGUAGCGGUGUCCGCUAGCGUUUUGGAUUUGGACGGAUCGAUCAGCCACACAACGGUGCCACUGGCGACGUACGGCACGUGGCCCACGUACGCACGCACGGACCCAGCCGGGUGAGACCCAACAAGGAAACCGACGAGGUCGACACGUCCGUCCAGAUCUACCACUGUAGUAUACUGAGUACUUCCCCUGGCUUCCGGAGUGCUCCCAGCGAACUGAUUGAGUGAUCGACUAGUUACUGUUGUUUACAAUCCGCAGGCUUAACUUGAGCUCCGUCUACGUCUUGGCAGUUGGCACACGUGACCGGCUUAAGUGCAGCAACAGAGGUGGUACCUGCUGCUUGGUCUAGCACUUGCGUGUACGGCUGAAACGUGCACGCGCGCGCUCGCUCCAUACGCUAAUGCAUGCUUGCAAGCUGCAAAUGAUGUUGCCUGCUGCGUGCGCCAUGCAUGGAUCGGCCGGACCCCAAGCGCUGCGCUGGCGUGGCGAUCCUAGCUAGGCAAAACCAAGCGCGCGCGCGACACGCAACCAAACCACGUGAUGACUUAUAAUACUCCAGUUAGCUACUGGCAUCGUCAGAGACAAGUUAACCGUCGUGGUAAGUUUGUGACACGUCUGACGUCGAUCGCCUCUCAAAAGAGAAUAAUGGUUUGUGACACGUCGAGGAAAAGACAAUAUAGACACACCGUAACUUUUAUCAAAGUUACAAAAAAGGUUGGGCAAACACAUACUGUAGUAUGUACUGACCUGGAUGAAAUCGUGGAGCACGAAGUCCGGCAGCCAGGGCGGGGGGCGGUGCAUGGACCGGUGCACGAGCCGGCGCAGCCCGGCCGCGCUGUCCGGCAGCAGCGCGUCCUCCACGGCCAUCUCCUCCCGCGCCGCCAGCUCGCCCAUCUCCUGCACCGUGGCCGCGACGCCGCUGGUCAUGAUGACGACCCUGGCCACGCUGUCCCGGGCCUCCACGGCCGCCAGCCGGUACGCCACGAAGCCCCCGUAGCUGAUCCCGGCCACGUCGUACCGGCCCACGCCGAGGAGCCGCAUGGCGUCCGCGGCGCAGCGGGCCUGGAAGGCCACGGAGCGGAGCGGCGAGGCGGAGCGGGAGUGGGAGCCGAAGAAGACCAGGUCGGGCACGUAGAGGUGGAAGCUGCGGGAGAGCGCGGCGAGGUUGCGCGCCCACGUCCACUUGGCGUCGCCGCCGAAGCCGUGGAGGAGGAGCAGCGGCGGCUUGGCGGACGGCGAGGCGGGGCACCAGACGCGGAGCGUGGUGGCGUGCGGGCCGGGCAGGCGGAGGGUGACCGGGCGGAUGCGGAGGCGCGCGAGGAGGUGGAGCGUGAGCGCGGCGUCGCGGAAGGCGGCGAGGCGGAGGCGGAGGAGCAGCCGGAGGAGGAGCAGCGAGAGGGAGAGGAGCGCGAAGAGGGACGAGGUGGCCGCCGGGUGCUGCUUCGCGGCGGCGAGCGCGGCGGCGCCGGCCGCCGCCGCCGGUCCGGCGCGAGCUUGCAUGACGACGACGCGGGAGCGGGCUGGCUGGGUGGGCAGGCUGUAGCGCACAGCUUCUUUCUCGGCGCGGCCCCGAUGGAUCCGGAGGAGUCGCGACGUGUCUCGCGUGAAGUUCUGCGUACUGUUUUUAUAUAUGCGGCUCUUGCUCUUUCUGGUUGUAUACUAGUGCUACUGCUCGUGCUGAGCUCGAGUCGGAUACGGGUUCAAAAUCAAGCAGUGCGGCGUGACCCGUGGUAUAGCAAGAAACUCAAAGCUGCCUAGAGCUUAGCUCUAAGGGCGUGUUUGCUUACAUUGCAAAUCCAGUCUUGGCCCGGCGAGGCUGGCUCUAUCAAGCCGGUUUGAGGAGAUGCAGGCCAAAAAAUUCCAGAUGCACAUAGUUUGGUUGCCUGCAUGUCCCUAGUUGCAUGAGACAACCGUUUUCAAUCCGGCGUUUGGUUGCCCGCAUUGCAUUAGGCACACAUAUGACAUGGCAUUUGGUUGCAACCUGCAUAAGGUGUUGUCACCACUUUUUAACUAGUGGUGAGUUUAUCGCACAAAAUCUGAACAUGUAGGGCCAGAUACUUAAACAAAUGACAGUUCAUCCUAACUACUAUCAAAUGACAGUUCAAAUUAUUACGAGCCAUUGGCUAAAUAGGGGAUAGUUCAUCGGUGUUGCUGCUACCAGUUCUUCCUCUUCCUCUUCUUCUGCUUUUGCUUCUGCUGGUGCUUCUGCUAUUGUUGCUUCUUCUUCUUCUUCUUCUUCUUCUUCUUCUUCUUCUUCUUCUUCUUCUUCUUCUUCUUCUUCUUCUUCUAUCUUCUUCAAAUCCUGCACUGACCUCUGUUAAGCCACAUCGCCUCUGCCCACUUCAACCUUUUGUUCUUCCAAGCGUCAUUGUCAAAUGCCUUCAGACCAUGGUCGGAGCUAACAACGCAGUCAGGCUUGACCUCUUUCUCCUCAGGCACGUGUUCACCAAAGCCCCACUAGAGGAUCCAGUUAUGCAGAAUGCAACAAGCAAGAACUAGCUUAACCUGAGUGGAGUAUGGGUGGAAUGACUUCUGAUCCAGGAUCUUAAACCCAUUCUUCAGAGCUCCAAAUGCCCUCUCAACAGUUACUUUAAGGCUGGAGUGUCUGAGAUUAAACAGCUCAUGUGCAGUCCUAGGAUAGUUCCUACUAGAGAACUCGUUGAGAUGCUACCUGGUUUUCCUGAAGGGUGGAAGAAUACCCGGUCGACAUGCAUAGCCAGCAUCUCCAAGGUAGAACUUGUCGUCGGGGAUGUUGAUCCCAUCAGGCCGAUUCAUGCUAUCAGUGAGAAUGUUAGCAUCAUGCGCUGACCCCUCCCAGCCAGCCAGCACAUAUGUGAACUUCAGAUCAAAGUCAACAUCAACAAGCAUAUUCUGGCUUGUGUAAUGCUUCCUCCCCCUGUAUGCUGCAGACUGUGACCUAGGAACUCUGGCAGUGACAUGAGUAUCAUCUAUUGCCCCAAUGCAAUCCUGAAAAUGGCAUCACAAGCCUGUGUUAGUGCUCAACUUGAACAAUACAAUCAUAUCAAGCCAUGAAUAGUGUAUAUUGUCAAUGUUCACCUUGAAGUAUGGAUACCAUCUUGGGCUUCCGCGAAUCUUGGGUGGAGUCUGACCAGAUGGUCUCCUGAUCCUCUAAGCUACCCAAUAGCAAAAAACACUUACUUGAAGUACCUAGAGAUGGUCUCCAUUGAUCUCCUGAACGUGUUGUGAAUGACCCUGAACCUCUGGUUAUGACCAACAUCACGGAGGAACAUGGCCACUUGCUCUUCGACACUGGUGUUGAUGCUACCUUGUAGCAGCCCCCUACUCCUGAAGGUCUCGACAA